AUGGGACUUGUAACUGUUACUUCUGUCUUGAGUGGUUAAAAGAUAGAACAGUCUAGCCAAGUGCCGUGUCUCUUAUUCUUGAUUAGCUAUAGUUCUGGGGUUUUUGCAGAUUUUCAAAUAAAACUCAGAGAUUCCUUGUAUGACUCUCUCAAAUCUCUCCUUUGUGGUAUUUCUGGAUCCUUACCAAGGCAGUGAUGGUAUAUGCCUUCUCUCAAAAAUAUGUAGUAUUUGUGGUAUAAGGCAUAGUGGCAUUGCCUUCUCUCUCACCCUACUCUAAUAAGGCUUUAAUAUCUAGAGCUCAUAGGUGGGAGAUAAAAUAUACAUACUUACAAGACAUUUAUUGCAUAGUCAAACCAUGGAUCCAAAGAAACAAAUCAAUAAGUCGAAUCAAGAUGUGCAUGUGUGGCGAAUGAAUGGUGUAUGGUGAUGAUGGUGAUAACAAUGGUAAAAGUCUAAUUCUACUUUUGCUCUUUGAGGGGAUACAUAUCUCCCUUGCUUUUUAAAAUUUUAUGGGGAGAAUGAGAUGCUCUUCUUUUUCUUUUCUCUCAGGUGGGUAUCUUGUACCCCUAAUUCUACUGUCGGACACUUGUCCAUUUUUACCUCUCGUCUCACUUUUUUUUCUUUUCUUUCGAGGUUCCGAGCACUUGUUCCUUUUUAUUUCCUCGUAUAUUUCUCUUUCUUUCUUUUUUAUAGCACUCAUCUCUUGAGAUAAUAUAGCAAGUGGUAGUAACAAGAUAACUUGAGCAUUUAUUUCACAAGGGAAAAACAAUAAUAUUUUUGGUUAUUCUCUCCCGGAUUAGGAGUAGAAUAUUUUUAGGUGAUUCUGGAGAUGGAAAUGGAUGGAUAUAUGUGGAUGGUACUUCCGGAGUAGAAGUAGCAUAUAUGAGUGAACGUGCAAGUGAAUCUUGAUUUAACCACAUGACAAGCUCCUAAUGGUCUACACAGCUUGACCACACUCAAUGCUCAUAAGCAGUAAAUAGUAAAUGUGUGGCUCAAAGUCUAGCAAGCAUGUAUAUAUGGCUGUGGUAGGAAUUUAAACUCUCAUCAUACAGGAACUCAUCAUGCAACAUUUUAAAGAUUUUCAAAGAUAAAAUUCUCCAGAAUUCUAGCAUCUCUAGGAACAGAUAAACAGCAGCUCAACCUUCCCAUAUCGUAUCCGUUAACAACUUAGACUUCAGAUCAAGUUUUCAUCCCACAAGUUUAGGUCUAGAGCAAGCUUUAAAUUAUAACUGUUAUAUCUAAACUUGAGAGAGAACUUAAAAUGUGCAAAUUAUGCAGAGCAACUAUUCAUCAUAUCCAUGCUUGAGUUUUAUUAUUAAGAUACAGAUUAGCAUAGCCACUUUAUUCAUUUAUUAAACACACUAAGCAAAAGAUAUAUAUAUAAGCACAAAAUCUUUAUUUGGUUUUUCCAUAGUUAUGUAUAUUUAUAUUCUAAUAUAAUAUAAGUAUAAAGAUAGAUAGAAAUACUUAUCGAGAUAAAUGGGGGUGCUUUCCUCCAAGCUAAAUUUUGACGUAAUUUCUCUUGAUGUAGCUAGCAGGUAGCAGAGGUGUAUUUGAAAGUUAGCAGCAUUCUGACAGUGAUUAGAAUGUCCUCCGUCUGCCAGUCUUCCUGAUUCUUAGAUUCUGUGGAGCUCAAAUAGACAACAAAGCUUGUGGAACUGAUUAAGUGUUAGCAUAAAUAUCUAGCCUUUAUCAUGUUGAGACUCCUUAAUAAUUAUUACUCCCUGUUUUUCUAUUUUUAUUUUUAUAAAGCAGAAAAAUAUUUAUUUUAUUUUUAUGCCACCACAGCGAAUGUAUUUAUGGGUUUUAUGCCACUCGUAUACUUACAUGGGGCUUACUGUUUUUUCACAUUUUUAUUUUCUUUUUAGGAUAGCACGAACAUGAUUAACUAAGUAAACUAUUUUAAAUAAUUGAAAGGGAAAGGAUAACUACCAAGUUUACCUCUUAGAAAGGCGUUCGGUGUUUUUAAGCCCUCCGAACAGGACUCUCCGUUUUCUUAAUUGUCCUAGGAUUCGUUGGGUGGCGUAGUCGGUACUUCCGGCGGCGCCUCCUCUUCAUGUAUAGUUAUCUUCAUUUUCCAUACCUGACUCGGUGCUAUGGUCUCCUCUGGAUAAUUCUGUUUAAACUCUACGUCUUCUGACCUUAUAACUUCUCCUUCAUAGUCUGCCCAUCCGUCCCUGAUGAUCUGCCUCCUCUGGUUGCGGUUGCGUCUCUUUCUGACCUGCUUAGAUUCUUCAACGAUAUAGUUAGGGUCAGUAAAAUAACGGCGUACCUUCUUUGAGGGGAAGUGCAUAUGGACUUCUUCGGUUCCAAUGUAGAUAAUUGCUUUGACGGAACUGAGGAACGGUCUUCCAAGGAUGAUGGGUGGAUCGUAUUCGUCUUCUCCCAUGUCAAUAACUUGAAAGUCUGUGUAGACAAAAUGAUCGUCUAUUUUGACUGGGACAUCAGUUACUGUUCCUUUAACUUCUCGAAAUGUCUGAUCUGCCAUCUGGAGCUGAAUGUAUGUUGGUCUUAGGGGCAUGGUCCCGAACAAGAGCCGAUAGGUGACUGCGGCCAUUAUGUUGACGCCCGAUCCAGUGUCACAAGACGUCUUGUAGAAGUUGUAUCUAUUUAUGGAGCAGUUAAUGCUUGGCAUUCCAGGGUCGUCCUUCUUGGUCAAAAACGAUUACUUAAGUUGGUGAUCUUGGCCUCCAUGAACUGCAGUGACCAUCUUAGCGGACUCGGUCCACACUUGCUUGUUCCUGUUCCUGUCGACGAAAGCUGGUCGGCAGUCUACCUUGGGGUAUACCCACGGUAGUAGUUUAUCGGUAGACGGUGCGCAAACUACGAACUCGAUGGUGACGCAAGACACGGACAAGCUUUUUAUCCAGGUUCGGCCGCCGAGUUGGCGUAAUACCUACGUCCUGCGUCUGGUUGUAUUGAUUUGUGUUGAGAGAAUAUGAUGUUCUAGGGGGGUCCCUUGCCUCUCCUUAUAUAGUCUGAAGGGCAGGGUUACAGAUCUGGAAACUAAUCCUAGUCGGUUACAAUUGUCAUAGAUAGUUCGAUAUCAAUUCCUAUUCUAACCGACUAGAAUUCUGCUUGAUCUCCACAUCUUGCUUCCUUGCGCGAAACUCCAGGCUAUCGGAUCAAGCCUUGAACUCGUCUCGUAAUGGGCCAAGCUUCCUGGCCGAAGUCUAGCCGUAAGGGUAUAGGGGUUUAUACCCCCACAGCUAGUCCCCGAGCACCAUGUAUUGUGAUGUAACACGUCGUCUUGAGCUUCUUCGAUCAGUGAGACUUGACGUCUUCAAUAAGUGGGAAAGUCGCCCAAACAGUUGCAACGGUUCUUUGACCAACUCAAAAGACAGUUGAUCAACAUUGACAUUGAAGAAGCGAGUUGUUCGAAGAAUGCAUGGUGCUCUAAAUUAAAAAAGAUUUCUUUCCCGGUGAAGUGUGCCCACUUUACUUUUUUGAAAGGUAUAAACAUCAAAAAAGCAAGCAUAUUCACCGCAAGGUGAAGUGUGCCCACUUAGUCCCCGAGCCUGGUAGUAGGUGACGUAGGCACGUGGUGCCAGGGUCAAAAUAAAAGUCCUCAAAGAAAUUCUGUAACUGAGAUGCAUCGCCAGAUGCAUCGUACCGAUGUAGUCCCCGAGCUUGCUGGAAGGCAAAGUAUGAGCCUUGUAGCAAGGUCUAAAAAAUUGAAUUUACCAGUCCGUCUACAAUUGAAUAGGCUAAUCGACCAGUCCCCAAGCACCAAGUGCGCUCCUUAGAAUUCUGCGUUGCUAUACUGUACGACCAGUCCCCAAGCAUCGAGUGCUCGGUGGUCGGUGCAGUCUUUGAAGUUCCGAGCUGAUAGACUGGGCGACCAGUCCCCAGCGUCGAGUGCUCGGUGGUCGGUGCAGUCCUUGAAGUUCCGAGCUGAUAGACUGGGCGACCAGUCCCCGAGCGUCGAGUGCUCGGUGGUCGGUGCAGUCCUUGAAGUUCCGAGCUGAUAGACUGGGCGACCAGUCCCCGAGCAUCGAGUGCUCGGUGGUCGGUGCAGUCCCCGGAUUGUUGACGAUCUUUUCAGUUAAAGUUGACAUGACGAGACCUCCUGAUGGGUUGUCAGAUGGACGCAUGAAAAAUUGCGCCUUGCAACUGUGCAGCCGUCCUUUGCGUGGUUUGAGAAAAAGGAAACCAUCAAUUGGUACGAAAACUCCGCCGCAUUAAUUGUCUAUAAUCAUUGUAAACCGAAACGCCGCAUCCGCCGCAUGGCCCGCCCACUUCCCGAGAAUACAGGAAAUGGGAGGGGUGGAGUUGCGGGUUAUAAGAGCCUGACAGUUCCGCCUGUACUCCUUACCCUGCCAUUGCCCUCAAGCCUUCCAUUCUCGCCUCUUUGCAUCACCUGCAUCUUCGUAACCCAAAUCCACUUCUCACCUCCAAUGGCGAAGAGCGACUCCAAGAAGAGGGCUGAACUGAUGGCCAAGGAGUGGAAGAAGUCCCGCAGCACCACCAAAUCCUUCGGUGACCUCGUCGACAUGGGACUCCUGCACAGCUCGGAGCUUGGCGGCUGGAGAGCGCCGGAAGGAGAAAGCUUCCCCGACCCUCGUGCCGGUGAGAUCGUCGUGUUCGAAGAUUUCGUUAAGAGGGGAUUUGGGGUUCCGGUUCAUCCUUUUCUCCAAGGUCUUCUUUUGUAUUAUGAGAUCAGGAUUUGCAAUCUGCACCCGAACUCAAUUCUCCUUAUCUCUACGUUUAUCCAUCUGUGCGAGGCCUAUGUUGGCGUAGAGCCGCACUUCGAUCUUUUUCGUUACCUUUUCUGCUUGAGGAAGAAGGGAGCAGUUGGAGGCUCCAAGGUUGCAGGUGGAGUAUACCUCAACCUUCGUGAUGGAAUGAAGAAUCACUACCUGCACUGUCCAUGGAACACUUCCUUGACCGAAUGGUAUAGGAAGUGGUUCUACGUCAGGGAGGAACCGGGCAGCUCCACGUUCUGCGACGUGGGGUACAUUCCCGAGAAGAGGGUGAGCUGGACCGACCGCCCGGAGUUCAACGGUCAAGUGGCGGAUCUGAUGAAGCUGAUCGACUGGUCGCGCCUGGAUGGGCUUGGCGUGGUCGGCAACUUUAUUUGUCGUCGGGUGAUGCCCUGCCAGAAGAGGGUGCACUCGGCGUACGAGUAUGCCGGAAGUGUGGACCCGACCAGGAUGCGACCGGAGAUCUUGGAGAAGGCGGAGGUACAACGGCUAUUGAACGAGCUGUUCAACUUCGCGGACGGAGGCUUCAUCCGUGGCAGUGAUCGGGUGCAAGCCUUCAAGUUAGGCCGACCAGCACCAAAGGUAUGUUGCAGAUUAUUUUGUUUUAGUAUUCGUAUAUCGUAUGUGGCUAGCUCAUCUUUGUUGCUUUUUGUAGAUUGGCGAUGUCGACCGGUGCACAGUGUAUGUAUCACUGGCACCGGGGAUGGAGAAUCCUGCGGGAGAAGACCCGCUAGAGGAGGACGCUGCUCGGUGUGCUCAUUACACCAGCAGUGAGGAGGAACAAGCCCGCCCCGUCCCAACCACCGAGGAGAGGGUGUCGGGGAAAAGGCCAAUGCCUGUGGAUCCGUCGCCGAUGCCGACACUGCCGGCGGAGAGCAGCCGAGCGCCGAAGCGGCGUCGGUUCAUCCGGAUUGACGACGACGAGGAGGAGGAGGAGGCCGUUCCGUCGUUGGUCCGGAGGCCUCCUAGCCGUCCGGACGGCGGGGUGACCACUGCCGACCGUGUGGCCGUCGAUCCACCUGCGCCUCUUGCUGGGGAGUCGGGAGCACAGGUGCCGACUGGUCGGACGAGAAGGAGGUUUACCGCGACCCACCGCCGCUCGAACCUGUAAGUGCUCAACUUGCGUAUUUCACCGAUGUUUUUUUUUGAUUGUAGUUUUGUUCCUUUAGCGCGGCGUCGGAUGUCGACCCUGGCCAUGCCGCUGGCCAGGGGACGAGUGAGCUGGUUUGCGCUGCUGAAGACGCGGCCCCGCAGAACGCAGAGCAGCCUACGGCUGCAGCCGUGCCUGAGAGCGCCGAGGAGUCCCCGGCCGCGGCACCGGCUACGUCGAGCAGCCCGACCAGGGUUGAGGAAGCUAUGGGGACGCCUCCCCCAGCCAGCACCACGGAAAGGGAGGGAAGGGCCCCGACCCCUCCUCCCGCCGGGGAGGGUGAAGUCUCCACACCGCCCCGAGCAGGGGCCGCUUCGACUGCAGGCUCCCCAGGUCUGGUCCGGGGACCAGUAAUGCCUGGGACCGCUACCGGGAGCAACGCAGCGCGGGAGGAGGAAGCUCAGGCGGCCUCCGAGGACGAGGUGGAGGAGAUUGAGGGUCGUCCCCGUGAUGGCCGCCAACACGUGUAUGUGUGGCGCCAACGCGGGGAUCACUUUAUCGGGCAUGAAGAGCUCGCCGAGACCGAGGAGGCCGCCAGGGUGGAGCGCGCAGCCAAGCGCCUCGUCGACGAAGUCAAGGUAAGCGACUUUUUGUACUGCUGUACAUUCUAUGCCUUGUCUUGCAUGGUCGUUAUAUGUUCGCUUUGUAGGGCGCAAUGAAAACGGCAAAGUACCGGAAACGGUGCUUUGACCAGAUAGAAGGCGUCGUGGCCGAGAACAAGGCCCUGGCCGCGGAGGUAGACCUUCUGCGGUCGGAAGUCGGGGAGAAGGUGGCCGAGAUGAGCGCCCAAGAGGAGCGUCGUCUCGACCUCACUCGUCGCUUGGCCGACCAGUACCGGCAGCGAGAAGGUUAGUCACACGCUCCGAGCAGCUUUGCGUACUUGUGUAGUUUGCUUUACUGACCAGUUUAUGAUUCACGCAGACUUGGAGGAGGAGGUAGCGCGCCUCCGACAAGAGAAGGAACAGCUCAGCCAACAGCUCACCGGUGCGCUGGAGUCCGGGCGGCGAGCAGGAGAGGAAUUGGGUCGAAAGGACCGAGAAUUAUCUGGUAAUGGGUGCCGCCUUGUUAGCUGCUGCUUGUCGCCCCUUUGUUUGUUUGGUAUGCCGAAAAUAACGCUUUGUUUCGUUUGCAGUGCUCAAGGUGAACGCCAAGAAGCACCUGGAUGAUCUGAUCAAGGACCGGGACUCCUGGAAGGUCAACUGUUGCAGGAUCUGGAAAGGAGUGUCCUCGGUCCUAGACCUGAUCAGUCCCGAGCUCCCAGAGAGCCAGCCCCACGCGCCACAGUUGACCCCGGUCGAGAAAGCGCAACGGGCAUGGGACUGGCUCCAAUAGUUCGUGAAGGACGCCGGGGAGUUUGCCGGCGCGCACGUCCUCAGCAUGGUGCGCGCCCACUAUCCCCUGGUCGACUUGAGUAGGCUGGAGAAGAGGUACCCGAAGGAGGUCGGCUGACAGGAAGCGGACGAGCUUCGAGGUAGUCUGCUGGACUUGUCGUCGACAGUGGUCGGCGACAUCAAUCUGUGCGGAACGGCCACUCCCCCAGACCAGCCGAGUUCAGAUAGGUCGGCGAGGGAGUUGUCGGGCGCGUCCGUUGCGGGAGAUGGGCGGUCGACGCCUGCGGUCUCGACCAGCCAGGCGCCGGUGGCCCCGACCCCUUCGUCCGGGCAGCAGGGCCAGGCGGGUGAUCAGCCCGAGCAGCUAGGCCAAUAGAGUAGUCUGUAGGAAUAGACUAGUGUCUGCCCGUCAGGGUAUUUAUUGUAAACUUUGUAUGUAAAGUUUGUAAUAAAGUUUGCUUUUUUUGUCAUGACUGUUGUUUUUGAGCGCUGUAAGAUUAUCUGAGUGACGUGUCACCGUAUUCGUCUUGGUAGUCGUUAAGAGCAUCCAUUGCAGGAGUUUUGCCGAGUGCUGUAUGCGACAAGGUAUAGGCAAAAAAUAGAGAAUUUCAUUAUCAACAAUUAUAAGAUACUUACAAAGGAAAGUUAUUAAAACUUUAUGGAUAGAAACGUCGCAGUUUGUCUAUGUGCCAAGAGUUAGGCACUCGUGUUCCGUCUGGGUAUGCCAAUCUACAGGACGUAGGUUGUGUGACCUCGGUCACCACGAAGGGUCCUUCCCAGGGAGUGGAUAGCUUGUGCAUUCCCUCCUGGCUUGUUUUCCAUCGAAGUACCAGAUCGCCGACCACGAAGGAACGGUCCUUGACGUUCCUGUUGUAGUAUCGCCUGACUGCCGCGAGAUAUUUUGCUGUUCGGAGACAAGAAUCUAAACACUUUUCCUCCAUGCAAUUGAUUUCGAGUUCUCUGGCGUUGUCGGCGGUCGCCUGGUCGAAGUGUUCGAUUCUAGGAGAUCCAAAGUGUAUGUCAGACGGCAGGACCGCCUCUGCACCGUACACCAUGAAGUAGGGAGACACCCCUGUGUUUCGACUGGUCUGAGUUCGGAGGCCCCAGACCACUGCCGACAAUUCUUUCAUCCAUCGACCGGGUGCUCUGUCGUUUUUGGUGUACAACCUUUUCUUUAGGGCGUCAACGAUCAUUCCGUUAGCAUGUUCAACUUGACCGUUGGCACGUGGAUGUGCCACUGACACGUAUUUUAUGACUAUGCCUCUGUCAUCGCAGAAGUCCCAAAAAGUGGUGCCAGUAAACUGAGUGCCCAGGUCGGUGAUUAUGCUGUUCGGGAUGCCGAAUCUGUGUAUGAUUUGAUUGAGGAACUCCACAGCCUUCUCGGAGGUUGCCUUGACCAGAGGCAUGUAUUCAAUCCACUUGGAGAACUUGUCGAUUAACACGAAAACAAACUUGAAAUUGCCCGGGGCUGGUUUAAAUGGCCCGAUCAUGUCAAGCCCCCAGCAAGCAAAGGGCCAAGACGACGGGAUGGUUUGAAUUUCGUGGGCAGGUAUGUGGGUCCUCUUAGCGAAAAACUGACAUCCUUCGCAGUGUCGAACUAGUUUUUCUGCGUCGCCGACUGCGGUUGGCCAAUAAAAACCUGCUCGGAAAGCCUUUCCGACCAGCGUUCUUGAUGCGGCGUGAUUGCCGCAGGAUCCAGCAUGUAUGUCCUCUAAGAGCUUGAUACCAUCAUCUUGGGGUAUGCACUUGAGCAGUACUUCGGAGCUUGCGUUUUUCCACAUGAGUUGGCCGUCGACCAGGAUGUAGUUCUUUGAUCGCCGAAUGAGGCGCUCGUUCUCUGUUUUGUCCUGAAGGCCUGUCCCGUCCGAUAUGUAUUUGAUGAACGGGGUACGCCAGUCACGCCCACCGGUUGUCGGAGUGGCGUCGUCUAUGAGCAUUGCCUCGGUGGGUUGCUUGUCGACCAGGGAGGAGCCUACGCUCGGCUCGUGGAUGUCCUGGACGAAAAUACCCCGCGGGAUCUGGGCCCGAGAUGAGCCUAACUUCGACAACGCAUCUGCUGCUUGGUUCUUAUCCCGGACCACGUGGAUGUACUCUAUGCCGUAGAAGUUGGUUUCCCAUUUGCGAAUUUCUUUGCAGUAGAGAUCCAUCUUCUCGUGGGUUGCGUCCCACUCCUUGUUGAGCUGGUUGAUGACCAAAGCGGAGUCGCCAUAGACACAGAGGCGCUUGACUCCCAGCUCAACGGCUAGUCUUAUGCCAUGCAAGCAUGCUUCGUAUUCGGCGACGUUGUUUGACGCCGGAAAAAGGAUCCGAAGGACGUAACGCAGUUUGUCCUUGUUGGGUGAUACGAACAGUAUCCCAGCGCCGGCACCGUUGAUGUUCAAGGACCCGUCAAAGAACAUUGACCAGUGGUCUGAGACAUCGGGAACGGAAGGCUCGUUGAGAUCCGUCCAUUCAGCAAUGAAAUCGACCAGGGCCUGAGACUUGACAGUGGUGCGACUCUGGAACUCCAGGGAAAAUGGACAUAAUUCCAUUGCCCAUUUCACGAUUCUGCCAUUGGCGUCUUUAUUGCGCAGGAUGUCCCCGAGAGGGAAACUGGUUGUCACCAGGACUCGAUGGCCGUCGAAGUAGUGCUUCAGCUUUCUUGACGUUAACAGAAUGGCGUAUAUGAGCUUCUAUAUUUGUGGAUACCUGGCCUUGGACUCGUUUAAGACUUCACUUAUGAAGUAAACGGGUCUCUGGACCUUGUAGGCGUGACCUGGUUCAUCUCGCUCGACCACUAUUGCCGUGGAAACAACCCUGUCGGUUGCAGCAAUGUAAAGAAAUAGGUCUUCAUUGGGCUGAGGCGCUGUGAGAACAGGUGGUGAAGUGAGGAAGGUCUUAAGCUGAGUGAACGCAGCGUCGGCUUCCUCUGUCCAAGAAAAUUUUUCUGACGCUUUCAAUAGUUUGAAGAAAGGGAGGCCUUUUUCUCCCAGCCUUGAGAUGAAACGACUGAGGGCGGCCAUACAUCCGGUUAGCUUCUGAAUAUCCUUGACGUUCUUCGGUGGUCGCAUGUCGAGUACGGCUUUGACUUUUGAAGGGUUUGGUCGUAUGCCGUCGCGACUGACGACGUUGCCGAGCAGUAGACCGGAAGGAACGCCGAAAAUGCACUUCUUGGGGUUGAGCUUCCACUUGUACCUAUUGAGCGCCUUGAAAGUUCGGUCUAAGUUGUCGAUUAGGGUGCUCGCGUCCCUUGUUUUUACGACCACGUCGUCUACAUAGGCCUCGACGAGGCCAUCGCGAAUCUCGUCGUGGAGGCAUUGCUGGAUGGCCCGUUGGUAAGUGGCUCCGGCGUUUUUGAGUCCGAAAGACAUGGUCGUGUAGCAGUAUGCGCCGUAAGGUGUAAUAAAAGACGUUUUGAUCUGAUCUUCUUCCUUUAACGAAAUCUGGUGAUAACCAGAGUAGCAGUCUAGAAAGGAGAGGAGUUCGCAUCCGGCCGUUGAGUCGACCACCUCGUCGAUGCGAGGUAGACCAAAAGGAUCUUUAGGACAGUGUUUAUUGAGAUCAGUGUAAUCAACGCACAUUCUCCAUUCAUUAUUCUUUUUGCGUACAAGAACCGGAUUGGCGAGCCAAUCGGGGUGAUACACUUCUUUUAUGAAUCCGGCUGCUAGAAGCCGUGUGAUUUCUGUCCUAAUAGCCUCCUUUUUGUCGCGAGCGAACCGUCGCAGCCUUUGCUUGAUUGGUCUUGUGGUCUUCGAGACAUUUAAGGAGUGCUCGAUCAGGUUUCGUGGGACGACGGGCAUGUCUGCGGGUUUCCAUGCGAAAACGCUUACGUUGUCCCUUAGAAACCUGACGAGCGCGUCUUCCUAUUUUGGAUCCAGGUUGGCCCCGAUGAGGGCCGUCUUCUCGGGGCUUCCGUCGACCAGCUGAACUUCCUUGUGCUCCUUGGAUUUUGAGUUCUUUCUGGCUGUCUCCUGCUCAGGUAAUCGGAGCUGGUCGGGAAGCAGCUGCGCGGCUUGAGUUGCUGUUUCUGCCAUGCGGAUUGAGAGGUCGAUUGCUUCGGUGAUCUUGAAGCUCUCCUCUUCGCAGGUAUACGCAGUGUAAACAUUGCCUCUGACGGUUAGGACACCCUUCUCCGUAGGCAUCUUAAGGACCAGGUAUGAGUAGUGCGGGACUGCCAUGAACUUUGUCAGCGAUGGUCGGCCUAGUAUAGCGUGAUAGGUCCCGUCGAAAUCGGCGACCACGAAGUUGAUGAACUCCAUCCGGAAGUGGUCGGGUGUGCCGAAUUGGACAGGCAAUGUUAUCUGUCCGAGAGGCACUGAGCUUUGACCCGGCAAAACCCCCCAGAAUUGGGCGUCGUAAGGUUUUAGUUGUGCAGGAGAUAUCUUGAGGGCGGGCAGGCUGUUGCGAAAGAGGAUGUCAAUGGAGCUUCCCCCGUCCACGAGCACGCGCUCGAAUCUGAUGCUGUUGAUGCAAGGGUCCAGAAUCAAGGGGAAACGACCCUGCUCUGGGAUAGCGGCCCACUGGUCCUUCCUGCUGAACGAGAUCUCCCUGUGGGACCACGGGGGGAAUUUUGGGUCCGCGAUCAGCCCGUCCGUGCUGUCUAUGUUGAGGCAGGCUCUCUUUAACAGCUUUCUUUCUCGCUUAGAUUCAAUGGAGACCUUGCCCCCGAAAAUGGAGUGGACCACGUCGGUGGGGCUGACGUACUGGUGUCGGGGGUCCCUAUCUUGGUCCUCGUCCUCAUCUUCGUGGUCGUGCCCGUCUCGCUUGUUGUUUUUCUUGGCGGAGUCGUCUUGGGCGGCCCGCCGUGUGUAGAUGCUUUUGAGGACGCGGCACUCUUCCAUGGUGUGAUUAGACUUUGGGUGCAGUUGGCAUGGUCCCUUCAACGUUUUGUUGUAGUCUUCUUGGUAGUCGCGUCGUCCGUUGGGAUGCUUGACCGUGUUUACUUCGUGAUCGUAGUCGCGAGGGCGCUUUCCUCUGAAAUCGUCGUGGUUGUCGCGCCGCCGAUCCCAACCCUCUCGGUGAUCGCGGUUGUCGGAGCGGCGGUGGCUUCUGCUGUCGUAGCGACCACGACCAUCAUCUCGUCGGGGGGGCUGGUCGGGACCUCUCGCAUCGUCUCGGAUUAGUUUUUCUGCGUCGUCGGCAUCGGCGUAAUUUUUGGCCGUGGCGAGGAGCUCUGCUACCGUUGUUGGACGUUUAUGCAGCAGCUUGUUCCUCAGCGCUUCGUGGAAACGCAGGCCCUUGAUGAAGGCUGAGAUGGCCUCGUCGUGGGAAAUCUUCGGGAUUUUGAGGCGCAUAUCCGAGAAUCGUCGGAUGUAAUCAUGCAGGGGUUCGUUCUUCCUGUCCCUUAUCCUUUCGAGGUCAUACUUGUUUCCGGGCUGCUCGCAUGUGGCGAUGAAGUUGUCGAUGAAAGCCUGGCGUAGCUCUUCCCAAGAGUCGAAGGAGUCCUCGGGCAAGCCAAGAAGCCACUGAUGACCAGCCUGGUCGAGGACUACGGGGAAGUAGUUAGCCAUGACGUGCUCAUCCCCUGCCGCUGAUCGGACGGCGAUUUCAUAGAUGGUGAUCCAGUUCUCUGGAUUUUCCUUGCCGUCGUAUUUUUUAAGUUUUUCGAGCUUGAAAUUGUGGGGCCACACGACCUGGCGGAGGUGUGAGGAGAACUGUCUUAGGCCCGGAGGACCGUGCGUUGCAUCGUACUCGAUGCGGCGCAGGUUUUCGUGGACUGCUCUCUCUGCGGCGCGCCUGUUGAUGCGGUCCCGGGCAUCUUUGGGAGGGAUGUUGUGGCGGAGAUCCCUGUGUUGGUUUACUUCUUGGCCGCGUACGCGGUUCUGCUUGUGGCGACCGUCAGCGUCCCGACCACCAUCGUCGCGCCGUGAGUCCCCUCGACGGUUGUCGGGGGAGCGGCUGCGGUGACGCCUGCUGGGAGACGGUGAGGCCCGGCUACGAUUAGUGUGGUCAGAGGCGGCUUCCAUAUAAGAGACGUCCAGGACUCUCUUGAGCAGAGUGGCUGUCUGUCCCAUUGCAGCGAUCAGGUGUGCUCGGAUGCUGGUCCGGACUCCCUGGCAUUCGGGGGUAUCAGGAAGCCGAUCUAGGUUAGCCAUGGCGACUGCCAUGUUGGCGCUUGGCAUUUUGUAGACUGGCUGGUCCCCGACCAUGUCAAAGGCAUCGUUGAGAUUAUUUGGUGGCAUUUGUUGUUGCUCGUCUGCGCGUCGUCGGGCGCGAUCGGCGUUGCGCUGUUCGCGGAGUUGCCUCUGGUCAUCUGUUUCUCCAUCAACGACCGGUUCGUCGGCGCUGACAUUGAACACAAUAUCCCCUCGCCGUGGGGGAAAUAUCGGGAAUCGGUUGAAACCCGGAGGGUGUGAAGGAAAAUCCAGGUCGUAGUCCUCGUCUUCGGUGUUUAUAACCUCGGUGGGGACGGAACCGGUGCUUGAGUUGGUGCUGGAAACCUGGCCGUCCCGUAGUUCUCGGAUUGUCACCAUGUUGACGUAGUGACGAUCGUUCCUUGUCGGCGACCAACCCGCCUUGCUGAAAACGGAUUGGGUGUGCUGUGAAAACGCUUACGUUGUCCCUUAGAAACCUGACGAGCGCGUCUUCCUAUUUUGGAUCCAGGUUGGCCCCGAUGAGGGCCGUCUUCUCGGGGCUUCCGUCGACCAGCUGAACUUCCUUGUGCUCCUUGGAUUUUGAGUUCUUUCUGGCUGUCUCCUGCUCAGGUAAUCGGAGCUGGUCGGGAAGCAGCUGCGCGGCUUGAGUUGCUGUUUCUGCCAUGCGGAUUGAGAGGUCGAUUGCUUCGGUGAUCUUGAAGCUCUCCUCUUCGCAGGUAUACGCAGUGUAAACAUUGCCUCUGAUGGUUAGGACACCCUUCUCCGUAGGCAUCUUAAGGACCAGGUAUGAGUAGUGCGGGACUGCCAUGAACUUUGUCAGCGAUGGUCGGCCUAGUAUAGCGUGAUAGGUCCCGUCGAAAUCGGCGACCACGAAGUUGAUGAACUCCAUCCGGAAGUGGUCGGGUGUGCCGAAUUGGACAGGCAAUGUUAUCUAUCCAAGAGGCACUGAACUUUGACCCGGCAACACCCCCCAGAAUUGGGCGUCGUAAGGUUUUAGUUGUGCAGGAGAUAUCUUGAGGGCGGGCAGGCUGUUGCGAAAGAGGAUGUCAAUGGAGCUUCCCCCGUCCACGAGCACGCGCUCGAAUCUGAUGCUGUUGAUGCAAGGGUCCAGAAUCAGGGGGAAACGACCCGGCUCUGGGAUAGCGGCCCACUGGUCCUUCCUGCUGAACGAGAUCUCCCUGUGGGACCACGGGGGGAAUUUUGGGUCCGCGAUCAGCCCGUCCGUGCUGUCUAUGUUGAGGCAGGCUCUCUUUAACAGCUUUCUUUCUCGCUUAGAUUCAAUGGAGACCUUGCCCCCGAAAAUGGAGUGGACCACGUCGGUGGGGCUGACGUACUGGUGUCGGGGGUCCCUAUCUUGGUCCUCGUCCUCAUCUUCGUGGUCGUGCCCGUCUCGCUUGUUGUUUUUCUUGGCGGAGUCGUCUUGGGCGGCCCGCCGUGUGUAGAUGCUUUUGAGGACGCGGCACUCUUCCAUGGUGUGAUUAGACUUUGGGUGCAGUUGGCAUGGUCCCUUCAACGUUUUGUUGUAGUCUUCUUGGUAGUCGCGUCGUCCGUUGGGAUGCUUGACCGUGUUUACUUCGUGAUCGUAGUCGCGAGGGCGCUUUCCUCUGAAAUCGUCGUGGUUGUCGCGCCGCCGAUCCCAACCCUCUCGGUGAUCGCGGUUGUCGGAGCGGCGGUGGCUUCUGCUGUCGUAGCGACCACGACCAUCAUCUCGUCGGGGGGGCUGGUCGGGACCUCUCGCAUCGUCUCGGAUUAGUUUUUCUGCGUCGUCGGCAUCGGCGUAAUUUUUGGCCGUGGCGAGGAGCUCUGCUACCGUUGUUGGACGUUUAUGCAGCAGCUUGUUCCUCAGCGCUUCGUGGAAACGCAGGCCCUUGAUGAAGGCUGAGAUGGCCUCGUCGUGGGAAAUCUUCGGGAUUUUGAGGCGCAUAUCCGAGAAUCGUCGGAUGUAAUCAUGCAGGGGUUCGUUCUUCCUGUCCCUUAUCCUUUCGAGGUCAUACUUGUUUCCGGGCUGCUCGCAUGUGGCGAUGAAGUUGUCGAUGAAAGCCUGGCGUAGCUCUUCCCAAGAGUCGAAGGAGUCCUCGGGCAAGCCAAGAAGCCACUGAUGACCAGCCUGGUCGAGGACUACGGGGAAGUAGUUAGCCAUGACGUGCUCAUCCCCUGCCGCUGAUCGGACGGCGAUUUCAUAGAGGGUGAUCCAGUUCUCUGGAUUUUCCUUGCCGUCGUAUUUUUUAAGUUUUUCGAGCUUGAAAUUGUGGGGCCACACGACCUGGCGGAGGUGUGAGGAGAACUGUCUUAGGCCCGGAGGACCGUGCGUUGCAUCGUACUCGAUGCGGCGCAGGUUUUCGUGGACUGCUCUCUCUGCGGCGCGCCUGUUGAUGCGGUCCCGGGCAUCUUUGGGAGGGAUGUUGUGGCGGAGAUCCCUGUGUUGGUUUACUUCUUGGCCGCGUACGCGGUUCUGCUUGUGGCGACCGUCAGCGUCCCGACCACCAUCGUCGCGCCGUGAGUCCCCUCGACGGUUGUCGGGGGAGCGGCUGCGGUGACGCCUGCUGGGAGACGGUGAGGCCCGGCUACGAUUAGUGUGGUCAGAGGCGGCUUCCAUAUAAGAGACGUCCAGGACUCUCUUGAGCAGAGUGGCUGUCUGUCCCAUUGCAGCGAUCAGGUGUGCUCGGAUGCUGGUCCGGACUCCCUGGCAUUCGGGGGUAUCAGGAAGCCGAUCUAGGUUAGCCAUGGCGACUGCCAUGUUGGCGCUUGGCAUUUUGUAGACUGGCUGGUCCCCGACCAUGUCAAAGGCAUCGUUGAGAUUAUUUGGUGGCAUUUGUUGUUGCUCGUCUGCGCGUCGUCGGGCGCGAUCGGCGUUGCGCUGUUCGCGGAGUUGCCUCUGGUCAUCUGUUUCUCCAUCAACGACCGGUUCGUCGGCGCUGACAUUGAACACAAUAUCCCCUCGCCGUGGGGGAAAUAUCGGGAAUCGGUUGAAACCCGGAGGGUGUGAAGGAAAAUCCAGGUCGUAGUCCUCGUCUUCGGUGUUUAUAACCUCGGUGGGGACGGAACCGGUGCUUGAGUUGGUGCUGGAAACCUGGCCGUCCCGUAGUUCUCGGAUUGUCACCAUGUUGACGUAGUGACGAUCGUUCCUUGUCGGCGACCAACCCGCCUUGCUGAAAACGGAUUGGGUGUGCUGUGAGUAAACAGAGGCCGAGUUGUUCAGGCCGCAAGGAUAAUCUUCCUUCUUGAGCUCGACGGAUCGUCCUGAGGGUGUUGAGGUUAUCGUCAGAGACGUUCCCAGCCGUUCGUGUGUGGCGACAUGAGUUGGCCGGCGGGAUUUGAAAAAAUCCGCUGGAGCAGCUUGGUCGGGCCGGCGCAGAACUCCGUCUACUAGUUGGGAAACUUCGAGUAGCUUGGAGUCAGCGCGAUCAAGCGCUUGGAGAAGGUCCGAGCUGUCGAUCUUCUUUCCCUUGUAGAGCGGGAACGGUGGUCGGGCGCUCGGUGCCGCCACGUGUGUGGUCGGAGACGGCGUGAUCUCAGAUUGGAUCUGGGUCUCUUUCGAAACCGUGGUCGUGAGGCCGGCGCUGCACGUCGUCCACGUGAUCUGGCCAACGGUGAACGUGAGGCCUUCAGGCACGGUCGCGGAAGCUGGGAUCGUGACCAUCUUGUUCGUCGGAAAAGUUGCACGCACACCCCCUACCUGGCGCGCCACUGUCGACAAAAGCUGAUCGGCAGUCUACCUUGGGGUAUACCCACGGUAGUAGUUUAUCGGUAGACGGUGCGCAAACUAUGAACUCGAUGGUGACGCAAGACACGGACAAGCUUUUUAUCCAGGUUCGGCCGCCGAGUUGGCGUAAUACCUACGUCCUGCGUCUGGUUGUAUUGAUUUGUGUUGAGAGAAUAUGAUGUUCUAGGGGGGUCCCUUGCCUCUCCUUAUAUAGUCUGAAGGGCAGGGUUACAGAUCUGGAAACUAAUCCUAGUCGGUUACAAUUGUCAUAGAUAGUUCGAUAUCAAUUCCUAUUCUAACCGACUAGAAUUCUGCUUGAUCUCCACAUCUUGCUUCCUUGCGCGAAACUCCAGGCUAUCGGAUCAAGCCUUGAACUCGUCUCGUAAUGGGCCAAGCUUCCUGGCCGAAGUCUAGCCGUAAGGGUAUAGGGGUUUAUACCCCCACAGCUCCUCCUAUUGGUCCUCCUCCUUGAUUCACGUCUGGAUUGAUGUGGAAUUUGUGUAGUCUUGGUCUUGAAGAAAAAUGUCUCCUUCCUCCCUUUGACGUAGAAACUGAUCUUGGCAGCACUGGCGUAGAUGAUAGCUCUCGUGGUGUUCAAGAAUGGCCUCCCUAAGAUGAUGGGUACUCUCUCAUCAUUUUCGGUCUCUGCCACUACGAAGUCUGCUAGGGCAUACAAGGUACCAACUCGAACACAAAGGUUCCUCAAUAUUCCUUUUGGAAAAGUUAUCGUCUGAUCUGCAAACUGCAAACACAUGGUUGUCUCUAAUAAAGGAUAUGUAAAGAAUUUCUCAUAGAGUACCCUGGGUAUAAUGUUGACGCUAGAGCCAAAGUCACAAAGUGCUUCUGGAACGUCCACCAUACCGAUGGAGAUCGGAAUGACAGGGCGUCCUGGAUCGCCUCUCUUCAUUCCAGCUUUGAUUGGACGCCAUCUUCUCCACAAGAGCUGUGGCUUGUGGUAUAGUAAGUGAUAAGAAUGCUCCUCCAGCUGCAGCAUCCAUGGUCUCUCGGGCACUGUUGCCGAGCCCAUGAUAAAAUGUCUGCAUCAAAAGCCAACUCUCCAUUCCAUGAUGGGGACAUUCUAGGAUGUAGUCUUGGAAGCGCUCCCAUGCUUCUGGAACGGAUUCAUCAUUUUGUUGCUGAAAACUUGUAAUCUUCCCACGGAGAGCAUUGGUCUUGCCCAUGGGAAAGAACUUAGCCAGGAAGUUUGUUGAGCAGAGUGCCCACAUAGUAUUCUUCUCCUUUGUAGCGUAGAACCACUGCUUCGCUCUUCCUAAUAGUGAGAAUGGGAAGAGGCGAAGUAGUAUAGCAUAUAUUGAAACUCCUGAUAUGGUGAAUGUGUUGCAAAUCUCCAGGAAGUGUUGUAAAUGAGCACUAGCAUCUUCGUGUGCCUUCCCACAGAACUGGUUGGAUUGCACCAUGUUGAUAAGUCCAGGCUUGAGCUCAACGUUGCCAUCGAUCUCUGCAGCAGGUCCAGUGUGGAUGUUGUCCGUAGUGGGAGCUGAGAACUCACGGAUUGAUUUGUUCGCCAUGGCUUCGAACUCUGAAGACAAGUUCCGGUGAUCUUCUUGAUUGGAUGAAGCUUCUUGCUGAACUGUUGAUGAUCUCUUCUUGAGCUUGGCUCUCGUCUUCUUGAAUAAUGCUUCGGGAUUGUCAACAAAAUUUCCUGGAAGAUGUCUUCUAUUCAUACAUUCCCCUGCAUAAGAUAAAAUAGAAAAAUAUCGGGGUAAAACUGUAUGAGAGAAUAGGUAAGCUCAAUCAUAUUAGUGAUGCGAAUGAUAACUCAAAAUCUUUUAUUCCAUUCCUGAUUAGUAAUCAUCCUUCCCCAGCAACGGCGCCAAAAAUGCUUGUUGGGUAUUCUUAACAUCAUUACCAAAAAUAGACUAUGUUCUCUAAAUCUAGUAACGGUGCCAAAAAUGCCAAACCUAUCCCUCACACCACUUAAGCCAAGUUGUCAUCCCCAGCAUGACAUGAGAGACGCGGUAUUGAAAUAUGCAAUUGCUCUUCUAAAUAAAUAAUGAAUGGGAUCUGCAAGCGCACAGAUUAAAAGCGAUGCAGCAUUUUAACCGGGAAGUAUUCCAGGUAUCGUUAUUUAUAUUUUUACCACUGGGAAGGGAUUAACAAUCAUCAAUAUUGAUUACAGAAUAGAAUUUGAGAUUGAGCAUCUAUCAUUGCAUGUAUAAUUGAGAACAUUAUAUCUAACUCUUCAUACAGGGAUAAGUGUCACAUAGAAGAUAUAUGAAAUAAUGAAUAGUGACAAGGAUAAGUAAUCUGGUCUAGCCACAUAAUAAAUAUGAUAAGCACCUCAAUUAUAUACUCUAGAAAGUCAUUAGCAUGGUAUUAGAACGAACUACAAGAAUAUUCCCUAAGUUAUUCUCAACUAUAUAGUUUAGCAUUAUCAUAGUUAGUGCAAGCAUACUUAGCAAUCAUUGUGAGACAAGACUACGCCCAUGCAUAGUGAUAUUAGCAAGGUAAAGGAGAAACAUAGCAAUCACUCCCCUGUAAUAAUAUUGCUCUGCCAGCCCAAUACAUGAGAGGGGGACUAUAUAAGAAUCAAUGAAGCUGUCACUAUCACGAACUACCCCACGAUCUGGCAUAUUGGCUACAAUCGCAGAUAAAUACGGUAUAAGCACCACGCCUACACAAUAUCUAUCAUUUACCCAUGGAUCCGAUGGAUAAACGCUAUACGAUCCUAAGCAUGUAUAUAGAUCCAAUCUAACUAAGCCAAGUACAUAACUAUGAUAAACUAAGAACAAUAUAAUCUUGAAUAUAAGCAAGUAGAGCAUAGUCAUAAGCAAUAUAUUGAAGUAGAACAAAGUCAUAUUCAUAAUAUUGAACAACAAAGAUAAUUAGAAAGUAAUUAGAAGCACAAUUAGAGAAUUACCAAGAAUCCUCCUGACAGAUCCGGAAAUCAAUCGAAGAUUGACUCCUUCUAGUUCUAAUCCUAUGUAGCUAUGCUAAUCUAGAUAUCUAAUUGAUGUGGUGGCUCUAAUCUUGAUCAGAGGCUUCUUCUCCCUUGAGUAACAAUGAAUUAGGGUUGAGAGGCUCUCUCCUCCAGGGGCCAGGGGGUCUCGUUUUAUAGUCCCUUCAAGUGAAUAUGGGCCGUUGGAUCAAACCGUCAUAGAUUGUAUGGUUUAGAUUCAUCCUUUAGGUCGGUGGAGAUCUUCCACGAAGCAGAGUCCUGAUUGGACUCAGGGAGAGGGCGGGCGCCCAGGGGAACAGGGCGGGCGCCCUGCCUUUGGCCCCGUUUCGCCUCCGCUUCGGUCUCGUGGCUUCUGGAGUCUUCUAGAUGUAAGAUAAUUACACGACACGUUAAUAUCUCUAUGUAAUCCCGACGUGUGGGCCUUUCUUCCGUAUUUCCUGAUAACCCCUUGUAGAAAUAGACAAACACCAAAACUCGUGGAAUUCUUUCAAAUAAAACCCUAAGUCUAGAUGUUGAUUUCAUUUGGAUCCUUUUCUUUGUUUAUUUGAUAAUUAAAUUUGAUACUUAAGGACCGUCAACACCGUGUUCCCGCACGACGGUGGUGCCACAGCCGGAAUGGCGUGACGUGAACUGACACCAAGACCUAAGCAGACCUUAACGCGACUCAGAGGGAAGAAAGGAGGCGAGAAUGGAGUAGCGGCGAGGUUCGCCGGAAUCGGGGUCGCGACGGCCGUGAACCCGACGACGACGAACUCGCGAAAUGUCGCUCACCUCGGGGAGAUCUCGUCCAACCGAGGGGUGGAGAAGAUGGAGGAGCUCGAGGCGGACUUGGAGACGCUCGAAGGCGAGGCGAGAUGCAUAGGCGAGGGCGCAAGGAGCUCGUGAAGCUCGCGGCGGCAAUGGCGAUGGCACUGUCGCCGAUGGAGACGCGAGAGAGAGAGGAAGGAAGAGAGUGGACGGGCACUGGGUGAGUGCGGGGUGUCGUGGCGUCCAUGACGACGCCGUCGACCUGACGAGCGGGGCCAACGCCGGCGUACGGGUGCCAAAUGGCAGCCAGGUGUCGCGCUGGGCGACCACGACGGCGAGCUCGGCUCUGAAUUAGACCACGCGAUCACCGACUGACAGAGCUACUUCAACGAUGAUUAUCUUCCAAACCAAUUUGAGUUAGGAGAUGGGGUAGUUGACAAAGUUGAAGUACUAGCCGAUUUCUACAACAUUGUCAACUAGGGCAAAAGCCAGAUCGGCCUGGAUUAAAAGAUGUGAGGCUUCCAAAAUCGAUCGAGCAAACUGGUGUCGUCUAGACUUAGCCAAAUUUGGCUAAGUGCCAAAACAGCACCCCAAAACUGCCUUGCAAGAAACUUUUGAGCAAGAUGUGUUCAUUUUCAUGAGAUGGCCAUAAAACAACUUUUGUUCCUUAUAAAACUGUCUACAACUUUGCUGUAGAAAGUUUUGACAUGCAAACAUUUUAUGAAACACUUUUUAAAAGCUCAAGCAAAAGAGGUUUCUAGGGCCUAUACAUAGAAGUAUGACUUAAGUGAUUAUUUUGGAGAAGUGAUCAACAUGAACAUUGUUUCUAAGGUUGAGUUAAGCACAGAUAAACUAAUUACCAAGGAUUAACACACAUGCAUGAGCAUGGUUCACAAAAACACAAGCAUAGGAAGCAUGAUUAAACAAGUCAAAGCACACUUAAGCAUAAAAUGACAUGGCUCAAGGUAGAUGAUGAUCAUGACAUGCUUGAGUAGAUGAUGAUGCUCAUGUUAUGCUUGUGAUUGAUGCAACCAUAACACUGGGCUGUUACAUACAACCUUGAGAUUCAUUACCACACAGGAAAGGCCAAUGUGGUAGCAGAUGCCCUAAGUAGAAGGUCAUAUGGUUAGCAGUUGGUGCCUAAGAACAAUCACCUACAAGAAGAGAUAGCACAGUUGAACAUGCAUAUAGUACGCCAACCUCAAAAUGGUAGUCUGAUGGUGCAGCCAACUCUUGUGGAAGAAAUCAAACAGACACAACAUAAGGAUAAGGAUCUAAUGAAAAUUCAUGAGCAAACUAGAGAAAAUAAAGCUCCAUACUUUAGAGUGGAUAACAAAGGAGUAUUGUGGUAUAAAAACAGGAUUUGUGUGCCUAAGGAGGGAAUGUUUCAAGAAUUAAUCCUUGAUGAAGCCCAUAACUCAGCUUAUUCUAUCCACCCUAGGGCCACCAAGACGUACAUGGACCUAAAAGAAUGAUAUUGGUGGAAUGCCAUGAAAGCUGAUGUGGCACAAUUUGUUGCACAAUGUGAUGUAUGCCAAAGGGUUAAAGCGGAGCAUCAGAAACCAGCAGGCUUCCUCCAGCCAUUUCCUAUUCCUGUUUGGAAAUGGGAUGAGAUAGGUAUGGAUUUUGUGAAUGGAUUACCCAAAACUCUGUAAGGAAAUGAUUCAAUAUGGGUAAUUGUGGACCGCCUUACCAAGGUCGCUCACUUCAUACCUGUGUGCACCAAGUAUAGUGGAGACACGUUAGCCCAGUUAUAUGUGGAUAGCAUAGUCAAAUUGCAUGGUGUGCCAAGUAGGAUUGUAUCUGACCGAGGUACCCAAUUUACCUCUAAUUUCUAGAAAAGUUUGCAUGAAUCUAUGGGGACCAUGCUAGAUUUUAGCUCAGCUUAUCAUCCUCAAACAGAUGGCCAGACUGAAUUGAUAUUAUCCAGUAAUUGUCUUAUUCGAAUCUAGGAACAAAUAAUAUGCUAUGACAGAAAUAUUAUUAUUUAGUAUGCUUAGGACUUGUUACUCAUCCUGGAUACUCAUCACUACAUUUUCUUAAAUAUAAUGAUUUUAAAAGCAAAACUGUGUGAGUGGAGAAAAUAAAUUGUGGGUAUUGUGAAAGGGGUAAUGAAGAAGUUAUAGAUGUGAACACUAUAGAGAUGGGGCGGAUGGGAUCCCUGUUGGGGGAUGCCUUGGUGUUGUGGCUUAUACCUUGUGGGGUUAAGCUUGAAGAUAUCCGCCAUGUCUCGACUAAGGACUGAGUUGAUGAUUCAUCUUGCCUAACUCAGUUAUCGUACAACCACUCGCCUUGCAUGGGAAAGGCUUAGUCUAAAUCCCUCUAGUUAGGAUGGCAAUUACAUGGAGGUAGGUGUGCAACGGGACACUAAGAGAUGCAUGUAAAACGGUGGAAAUAUAUGAGAUAUAAAGAGCUUUGUGAAUUAUUGUGGUAUCAUGAGAUGUGGCCUUAGUGUUCCCGUGGUGAGCGCCAUUACUUAGCUAUGGAGGGUAAUGACUUUGAUGGAUCUGUGUGUUGACGGUCCUUAAGUAUCAAAUUUAAUUAUCAAAUAAACAAAGAAAAGGAUCCAAAUGAAAUCAACAUCUAGACUUAGGGUUUUAUCUGACAGAAUUCCACGAGUUUUGGUGUUUGUCUAUUUCUGCAGGGGGUUAUCAGGAAAUACGGAAGAAAGGCCCACACGUCGGGAUUACAUAGAGAUAUUAACGUGCCACGCAAUUAUCUUACAUCUAGAAGACUCUAGAAGCCACGAGAAGCAAGCGGAGGCCGAACGGGGCCAGAGGCAGGGCGCCCGCCCUCCUGCCCUGGGCGCCCGCCCUGACUUGGAGGCCAAUCGGGACUCUGUUUCUCGGGAGAUCUGCACCGACCUAAAGGAUCAAGGAUAACAGUUCAAUCAAUGUCGGUUUGAUCCAACGACCCAUAUUCACUUGAAGGGACUAUAAAACCAGACCCCCUGGCCCCUGGAGGAGAGAGCCUCUCAACCCUAAUUCAUUAUUCUCAAGGGAGAAGAAGCCUCUGAUCAAGAUUAGAGCCACCACAUCAAUUAGACAGCUAGAUUAGCAUAGCUACAUAGGAUUAGAACUAGAAGGAGUCAAUCUUCGAUUGGUUUCCGGAUCUCUCAAGAGGAUUCUUGGUAAUUCUCUAAUUGUACUUCUAAUUGUUCUUCUAAUUAUCUUUGUUCUUAAAUAUUAUGAAUAUGACUUUGUUCUACUUCAAUAUAUUGCUUAUGACUUUGCUCUACUUGCUUAUAUUCAAGAUUAUAUUGUUCUUAGUUUAUCAUAGUUAUGUACUUGGCUUAGUUAGAUCGGAUUUAUAUACAUGCUUAGGAUCGUAGAGCGUUUAUCCAUCGGAUCCAUUGGUAAAUGAUAGAUAUUGUGUAGGCGUGGUGAUUAUACCGUAUUUAUCUGCGAUUGUACCCAAUAUGCCAGAUCGUGGGGUAGUUCGUGAUAGUGACAACUUCAUUGAUUCUUAUAUAGUCCCCCUCCUGUGUAUUGGGCUGGCAGAGCAAUAUUAUUACAGGGGAGUGAUUGCUAUGUUUCUCACUUACCUUGCUAAUAUCACUAUGCAUGGGCGUAGUCUUGUCUCGCAAUGAUUGCUAAGUAUGCUUGCACUAACUAUGAUAAUGCUAGACUAUAUAGUUGAGAAUAACUUAGGAAAUAUUCUUGUAGUUCGUUCUAAUUCCAUGCUAAUGACUUUCUAGAGUAUCUAAUUGAGGUGCUUAUCAUAUUUAUAUAUGGCUGAUCAGAUUAAAUAUCUUUGUCACUAUUUAUUAUUUCAUAUAUCUUUUAUGUGACACUUACCCCUGUAUGAAAGAGUUAGAUAAAUGAUCCCAAUUAUACAUGCAAUGAUAGAUACUCAAUCUCAUAUUCUAUUCUGUAAUCAAUAUUGAUGAUUGCUAAUCCCUUCCCAGUGGUAAAAAUAUAAAUAACGAUACCUGGAAUACUUCCCGGUUAAAAUGCUACAACGGUAUUUAUUUAGAAGAGCAAUUGCAUAUUUCAAUACCGCGUCUCUCAUGUCAUGCUGGGGAUGACAACUUGGCUUAAGUGGUAUGAGGGAUAGGUUUGGCAUUUUUGGCACCGUUAUCAGAUUUAGAAAACUAAGUCUACUUUUGGUAAUGAUGUUAAGAAUUCCCAACAAGCAUUUUUGGCACUGUUGCCGGGGAAGGUUGAUUACUAAUCAGGAAUGGAAUAAAAGAUUUUGAGUUAUCAUUUGCAUUACUAAUAUGAUUGAGCUUAUCUAUUCUCUCAUACAGUUUUACCCCGAUAUUUUUCUAUUUUAUCUUAUGCAGGGGAAUGUAUGAAUAGAAGACAUCUUCCAGGAAAUUUUGUUGACAAUCCCAAAGCCUUAUUCAGAAAAACAAGAGCCAAGCUCAAAAAGAGAUCAUCAACACUUCAGCAAGAAGCUUCAUCCAAUCAAGAAGAUCACCGGAACUUGUCUUCAGAGUUCGAAGCCAUGGCGAACAAAUCAAUCCGCGAGUUCUCAGCUCCCACUACGGACAACAUCCGCACUGGACCUGCUGCAGAGAUCGAUGGCAACUUUGAGCUCAAGCCUGGACUUAUCAACAUGGUGCAAUCCAACCAGUUCUGUGGGAAGGCACACGAAGAUGCUAGUGCUCAUCUCCAACACUUCCUGGAGAUUUGCAACACAUUCACCAUAUCAGGAGUUUCCAGAGAUGCCAUACUACUUCGCCUCUUCCCAUUCUAACUGUUAGGGAGAGCGAAGCAGUGGUUCUACGCUACAAAGGAGAAGAAUACUACUUGGGCACUCUGCUCAACAAACUUCCUGGCUAAGUUCUUUCCCAUGGGCAAGACCAAUGCUCUCCGUGGGAAGAUUAUAAGUUUUCAGCAACAAAAUGAUGAAUCUGUUCCAGAAGCAUGGGAGCGCUUUUAAGACUACACCCUAGAAUGUCCCCAUCAUGAAAUGGAGAGUUGGCUACUGAUGCAGACAUUUUAUCAUGGGCUCAGCAACGGUGCCCGAGAGAUCAUGGAUGCUGCAGCUGGAGGAGCAUUUUUAUCACAUACUAUAUCACAGGCCAUAGCUCUUGUGGAGAAGAUGGCGUCCAAUCAAAGCAGGAAUGAAGAGAGGACCCAGACACGCAAGAGAGGUGGAGGUAUGCAUCAGCUUAAGGAGGUAGACAUGCUGUCUGCAAAGCUAGACCUACUCAUGAAGAAGCUCGAAUAUAGAGCUGGAGAUAAGAAAGAAGUUAUGCACAUCUACGACUCUCACAUGACUUGUGAGGAGUGUGGAGACACUGGACACUCAGGCAAUCACUGCCCCGAGAUGCUUGAGGAUGUGAACUACAUCAACAACAACAACAAAUACUACUACAACCGUCCUCAACAAAAUCAAGGUUGGAAUCAACAGAGGCCUAACUACUCAGGUAAUUAUCAAGGUAAUAAUUCUUACAACAAUAAUAAUAAUUUUCCACCUUUGAGAGAGUUAGUGUCUAAUCAAGGAAAGCUAAUGGAUAACCUAUCUAAGAAAUUGGCAUCUAAUGAUAAAAUGCUAGAAAAUAUAAAUAAUAGAAUGGAUAAUUUAUCUACUGCCAUCAAGAGUCAAAUUAGCUUUAAUAAAAUGAUUGAAUCUCAGUUAAAUCAAAUAGCUGCUGCUGUUCCUCCUACUAACCCCGGUAUACCAUCACAACUGGAAGGAUUAGAAUCUGCAAAUCUUGUAGACAUGUUUGAUGCAGGUAAUUGGAGUAACCCCAUCACUGAAGUUACUUCUGACCUUCUGCCGGUCAAGAGAGGCGAUCCAGGAUGCCCCGUCAUCCUGAUCUCCAUCGGCAUGGUGGACGUCCCAGAAGCACUCUGUGACUUUGGCUCUAGCGUCAACAUUAUACCCAGGGUACUCUAUGAAAAGUUCUUUACAUAUCCUUUAUUAGAGACAACCAUGUGUUUGCAGUUUGCAGAUCAGGCGAUAAGUUUUCCAAAAGGAAUAUUGAAAAACCUUUGUGUCCGAGUUGGUACCUUGUAUGCCCAAGCAGACUUCUUGGUGAUAGAGACCGGUAAUGAUGAGAGAGCACCCAUCAUCUUAGGGAGGCCAUUCUUGAAGACAUCGGGAGCUGUCAUCUACGCUAGUGCUGCCAAGAUCAGUUUCUACAUCAAAGGGAGGAAGGAGACAUUUUUCUUCAAGAACAAGACUACACAACUCCCAGAUCAAUCUAGACAUGAAUCAAGAAAGAGGACCAACAGGAGGAACAGGAAUAAGCAAGUGUGGACCGAGUCAGCUAAGAUGGUCACUACAGUUCAAGGAGGUCAAGAUCAUCAACUUAGGUCACCAUUUUUGACCAAGAAGGACGACCCAGGAAUGCCAAGCAUCUAUUGCUCCAUAAAUGGACACAACUUCUACAAGACGACUUGCGACACCGGAUCGGGCGUCAACAUAAUGGCCGCUGUCACCUAUCGUCUCUUGUUCGGAACCAUGCCCUUAAAACCAACAUACAUUCAGCUCCAGAUAGCAGAUGAGACGUUUCGAGAAGUUAAAGGAAUAGUAACUGAUGUCCGUGUCAAAAUAGACGAUCAUUUUGUCUACAUAGACUUUCAUGUUAUUGACAUGGGAGAAGACGAAUACGAUCCACCCAUCAUCCUUGGAAGACCGUUCCUCAGCACCGUUAAAGCAAUCAUCUGCAUUGUAACUGGAGAAGUCCAUAUGCACUUCCCCUCAGAGAAGGUAUGACACUAUUUUACUAACCCUAACUACAUCUUUGAAGAAUCUAAGCAGGAAAGAAAAUGACGCAACCGCAAGCAGAGGAGGCAAAUCAUCAAGGACGGAUGGGCAAACUACGAAGGAGAAGUGGUAAGGUCAGAAGACGUAGAAUUUAAACAAAACUAUCCUGAGGAGACCAUCGCACCGAGUUAGGUGUGGAAAGAGAAGAUAACCAUGCAUGAGGAAGAGGCGCUGCCGGAAGUACCGACUCCGCCACCCAACGAAUCCCAGGACAAUUGAGAAAGAGGAGAGUCCUGUUCAAAGGACUUAAAAACACCGAACGCCUUGCCAAGAGGUAAACUUGGUAGUUAUCCUUUCCCUUUCAAUUAUUUUAAAAUAGUCUACUUAGUUAAUCAAGUUAAUACUAUCCUAAAAAGAAAAUAAAAUGUUAAAAAAUAGUAAGCCCCAUGUGAGUAUACGAGUGGCAUAAAACCCAUAAGUACAUUCACUGUGGUGGCAUAAAAAUAAAAUAAAUAUUUUUCUGCUUUAUAAAACGAAAAUAUAAAAGUAGAGAGUAAUAAUUAUUAAGGAGUCUCAACAUGAUAAAGGCUAGAUAUUUAUGCUAAGACGUAAUCAGUUCCACAAGCUUUGUUGUCUAUUUGAGCUCCACAGAAUUUAAGAAUCAAGAAGACUAGGAGACGGAGGACAUUCUCAUCAAUGUCAGAAUGCUGCUGACUUUCAAAUACACCUCUGCCACCUGCUAACUACAUCAAGAGAAAUUACGUCAAAAUUCAGCUUAGGGGAGAGCACCUUCUAUUUAUCCCGAUAAGUAUUUCUAUCUAUCUAUCUUUAUUCUUAUACUAUAUUAAAAUAUAGAUAUACAUAACUAUGGAAAACCAAAUAAAGAUUUUGUGCUUAUAUAUAUAUCUUUUGCUUAGUGUGUUUAAUAAAUAAAUAAAGUGGCUAUGCUAAUUUGUAUCUAAAUAAAACUCUAGCAUGGAUAUGAUGAAUAGUUGCUCUGCCUAAUUUGCACAUUUUAAGUUCUCUCUCAAGUUUAGAUAUAACUGUUAUAAUUUAAAGCUUGCUCUAAACCUAAACUUGUGGAAAGAAAACUUGAUCUGAAGUCUAAGUUGUUAACGGAUAUGAUAUGGGAAGGUUGAGCUGCUGUUUAUCUGUUCCUAGAGAUGCUAGAAUUCUGGAGAAUUUUAUCUUUGAAAAGCUUUAAAAUAUUGCAUGAUGAGUUCCUGUAUGAUGAGAGUUUAAAUUCCUACCACAGCCAUAUAUACAUGCUUGCUAGACUUUGAGCCACACAUUUACUAUUUACUGCUUAUGAGCAUUGAGUGUGGUCAAGCUGUGUAGACCCUUAGGAGCUUGUCAUGUGGUUAAAUCAAGAUUUCACUUGCACGUUCACUCACACAUGCUACUUCUACUCCGGAAGUACCAUCCACAUAUAUCCACCCAUUUCCAUCUCCAGAAUCACCUAAAAAUAUUCUACUCCUAAUCCGGGAGAGAAUAACCAAAAAUAUUUCUGUUUUUCCCUAUGAAAUAAAUGCUCAAGUUAUCUUGUUACUACCACUUGCUAUAUUAUCUCAAGAGAUGAGUGCUCUAAAAAAAGAGAUACCAGGAAAUAAAAAGGGGCAAGUGCCCGGAACCUCGAAAGAAAAGAAAAAGUGAGACGAGAGGUAAAAAUGGACAAGUGUCUGACAGUACAAUUAGGGGUACAAGAUACCCAUCUGAGAGAAAAGAAAAAGAAGAGCAUCUCAUUCUCCUCAUAAAGUUUCAAAAAGCAAGGAAGGUAUGUAUCCUCUCGAAGAGCAAAAGUAGAAUUAGACUUUCACCAUUGUUAUCACCAUCAUCACCAUACACCAUUCAUUCGCCACACAUGCACAUCUUGAUUUGACUUAUUGAUUUGUUUCUUUGGAUCCAUGGUUUGACUAUGCAAUACAUGUCUUGUAUGUAUGUAUAUUUUAUCUCCCACACCUAUGAGCUCCAGAUAUUAAAGCCUUAUUAGAGUAGGGUGAGAGAGAAGGCAAUGUCACUAUGCCUUAUACCACAAAUACCACAUACUUUUUGAGAGAAGGCAUAUACCAUCAUUGCCAUGGUAAGGAUCCAGAAAUACCAUAAAAGAGAGAUCUGAGAGAAUCAUACAAGGAAUCUCUGAGUUUUAUUUGAAAAUCUGCAAAAACUUCAGUGCUAUAGCUGAUCAAGAAUAAGAGACAUGACACUUGACUAGACUAUUCUAUCUUUUAACUACUCAAGACAGAAGUGACGGUUAUAAGUCCCAUGGUGAAGGUAAAGUAAGUAGGUUUUAAGUCUUGACAGUUUACUCUAACUCAGAGAUGAGAUCUUAUUUAAAAAGCAUGUGUACCGACAAUUUUUAAAGAUAUUGCAACAACUUCUAAUCCAUCGCUGAGUCUAUCCUUGCUCAGGGACAAGCAAGAGGUAAUCUUGGGGGAGUUUGUUGACGGUCCUUAAGUAUCAAAUUUAAUUAUCAAAUAAACAAAGAAAAGGAUCCAAAUGAAAUCAACAUCUAGACUUAGGGUUUUAUCUGACAGAACUCCACGAGUUUUGGUGUUUGUCUACUUCUGCAGGGGGUUAUCAGGAAAUACGGAAGAAAGGCGCACAAGUCGGGAUUACAUAGAGAUAUUAAUGUACCACACAAUUAUCUUACAUCUAGAAGACUCCAGAAGCCACGAGAAGCAAGCGGAGGCCGAACGGGGCCAGAGGCAGGGCGCCCGCCCUCCUGCCCUGGGCGCCCGCCCUGACUUGGAGGCCAAUCAGGACUCUGUUUCUCGGGAGAUCUCCACCAACCUAAAGGAUCAAGGAUAACCGUUCAAUCAAUGUCGGUUUGAUCCAACGGCCCAUAUUCACUUGAAGGGACUAUAAAACCAGACCCCCUGGCCCCUGGAGGAGAGAGCCUCUCAACCCUAAUUCAUUAUUCUCAAGGGAGAAGAAGCCUCUGAUCAAGAUUAGAGCCACCACAUCAAUUAGACAUCUAGAUUAGCAUAGCUACAUAGGAUUAGAACUAGAAGGAGUCAAUCUUUGAUUGGUUUCCGGAUCUGUCAGGAGGAUUCUUGGUAAUUCUCUAAUUGUGCUUCUAAUUGUUCUUCUAAUUAUCUUUGUUCUUCAAUAUUAUGAAUAUGACUUUGUUCUACUUCAAUAUAUUGCUUAUGACUUUGCUCUACUUGCUUAUAUUCAAGAUUAUAUUGUUCUUAGUUUAUCAUAGUUAUGUACUUGGCUUAGUUAGAUUGGAUUUAUAUACAUGCUUAGGAUCGUAUAGCGUUUAUCCAUCGGAUCCAUGGGUAAAUGAUAGAUAUUGUGUAGGCGUGGUGCUUAUACCAUAUUUAUCUGCGAUUGUACCCAAUAUGCCAGAUCGUGGGGUAGUUCGUGAUAGUGACAGCUUCAUUGAUUCUUAUAUAGUCCCCCUCUCGUGUAUUGGGCUGGCAGAGCAAUAUUAUUACAGGGGAGUGAUUGCUAUGUUUCUCAUUUACCUUGCUAAUAUCACUAUGCAUGGGCGUAGUCUUGUCUCGCAAUGAUUGCUAAGUAUGCUUGCACUAACUAUGAUAAUGCUAGACUAUAUAGUUGUAACACCCAAAAAUUUACAAAUUUUGAAAUAGGUGGAAAUGAUUUAAUUCUGUAUUUUUGUGUUCAUGGAAUAUAGAGAAAUAAUAUUUUCAUCGAAUUAAAAUUUAUUAUGGGAUUUAGCAACUUGUUGUGCAUUCAUUUUUGGGGCAUUUGUUUUACUCUUUGGUGUGUAUUUAACUAAAGAUCAAAACAUUUCAAACAGAUUUAAAAAGGAUUUUUUAAAUGAGUUUGAAAUGGCUUUUAGAUAAAUGAAAACAAAAGAAAAAAAAGGGGAACAUCUCCCUCCAUUUGUUUUGGCCCGAAGACCCCAAGCCCCUCCCCUCUUCCCUUCCGGCCCAACACGCCACCCCUUUUUCCAUCUCUCGCUCGGCCCACUCCCUCGGCCCAACCGCACGCGGCCACUCCUUUCUCCCCGCGGCCCGCGUCCCUCCCUUCUCUCCCUGACAACCGGGCCCAGCUUGUCAGCCGCCCUUUCCCUUCUUCAACCCCGCGUCGGGUGCGUGUAGGACUCUGUUCCUACCGAAACUAUCCAAUCUUGUGGGGAUUUUUGCCCGAUUCGCGGACCUUGGUCCUUUAAAGGGGAACGGGGAUCCUACCGCCUCCGUUUCUUCCUAUUUUCCUAGACUCGAGCUCCAUCCUACCCUAGCAUAGCUCGCAAACACCGCCGCCAUCCUGUAGACUGACUCCGAGCGCGGAUCAGUGUUUCUACCACGACUCCGCUCCCGUAAGCUUGAUGCCGAGCUUCGUAAUGAAUUUGCGAAGUCCCUGGAUCUCUUUUCCCUUUAUUUUUCGCUUCGGUUUGCUCAGUUCGUGUUGCCGAACCUCGCAGGGACCCAGGAUCCGCCAAAACACGACGCAGGUCAUCUCAGAGUUGUCCUUGCCUUCGAUUUUGCCUCGGGGUGAGUUUGCCGUUUCCUCCUCUUGCUCCCCAUGCUCUCAGUUUUGUUUUUGGUACCCUAAAUCGCCGAUUAGAUGAACUCUGGCGAGCUCCUCCUCUUUCCGGCCAUGGCACCGCCGUCGGUGCCCUCUGUUCCGGCCGGCCAGCCGUUCCCCUCUCCGCCGAUCUAAUCUGCGCCAUCGGUUUUGCGAUCAGCGGCCAAGAUCUCAACAUACCCCUUCGCCUGCGAUUUUGUUAAAGAGUCCUUGGAUUUUUCCAGGAAUCUACCCGCACUCCUUAGCGCUUUCUAUAGAUUAGGUUUUCUAAGUUGGAAAGCGUACUUUAGACUGGUUUCGCUCAGAUUUUGCUUUCUGAUAUUUACAAUUUUGCCACUGUAUCCGUUUUAGCCAUAAAAUAUUUAUUUUAAAUCCGUUUUGACCCAUUCAAAUUGCGUUAGGUUCAUAAUCAUGAUCUCUACAUGUUAGUAAAAUUAUUUACUCAGUUUGAAACUUUUUAAUUACGUGACUUUAAUUAAUUAAUCACUUUUCUAUAUAAAAUCUUAGAAAAUUCAUAACUUCUACGUUUUAACUCUGAUUUUCGUGAUCUUUACGUCUAUGAAAUCGUAGCGAUGCGUAGAAUCGUUUUAUAAACUUUUCAUACUGUUUUUAUAUGAUUGGUGUACUGUUCUAAUUGUAGCUUUGUUUGCUUCGUGUAUGUUUGUUUCCGGUUGUUUGUGUGUUGAUGAUCGAUGAUCGAGUUUAGUCGGAGAGCAGUUUCGGUGAUCAAGAUCAAAGCUUUGGCAACAAGUGAGACCAGCAGAACCAAAAGGAUAAGCAAGAGCAUUUGGAUCAAGGCAAGUAUAGCAUUUGGGUUUUAUUUCUGUGACCAUGAUCCUGUGACUAGAUUAAUGUUAAGUAAUAAAUGAUAAAAGUGACUUUUUAGCAACUUGAUGAUUUGUCUGUACGUGAUCACCCGGGACAACAGUGCAACCAUGAGGGCUAUAAUGGCUCUGGCUUUAGUUAAGUACGAGUAACUUUUUUAGCUCGUUAGCGGUUACCCGUUGUGGCGCAAUUGGGGAAUAGCAGACCGUGGAUUCCUGCGGGUGAGUCACACGGACUGACUAAUGAAACCAAGCGGCCCUAACUUGUUAGACGAACCUUUGAAAGACUUCAUAGUGAUCCCUGCCGACCUCCCUUGGAAGGGGGUUAAGAGAUUAGCUACCUCGGGCAAAAGGGUAAAUCAUGACUCAUGGGUAAAGAUGUGCAACCUCUGUAGAGGGUUAAAAACUAGUAUACUAGCCGAGCUCACGGUCAGGAGCGGCCUUGAGGACAUCUACAUUAAGGGUGAUGAUUCUUGUGUGUUAAUAUGCUCAUAUUUAUUGUUUAAAGCUUUACAUUAUUUAUGUCACAUUGAUCAUGGGAUUGUAGGAGCUAUACAAUCUAGUUGCUAUACUUGUGGAGUUCGACAUGGACUCACUCUUGCUAUUUCCCCCACCCUUCAGGAGAAGUUUAGGCUUGUGAUCAACCAGUCAGUUGGAUCCUGUAGAGUGGAGUUAAUACCCGAAGGUGGAGUUGUGUAUCCGCUGUUUGUUAUCAAAGGUUAUAUCUUUUAUACUAAGUACGUUAUAUAUUUAUGCAUUGUAUUUUGAUAUUACACCUUAUUUGUAGCUAUAUGUGAGAUUUGACUUCUAAAACUCAUAUAUAGUGUAUAUCUGGUUUUGUCCUUAAAAUCGGGUAUUACAGUAGUUGAGAAUAACUUAGGAAAUAUUCUUGUAGUUCAUUCUAAUUCCAUGCUAAUGGCUUUCUAGAGUAUCUAAUUGAGGUGCUUAUCAUAUUUAUAUGUGGCUGAUCAGAUUAAUUAUCUUUGUCACUAUUUAUUAUUUUAUAUAUCUUUUAUGUGACACUUACCCCUGUAUGAAAGAGUUAGAUAAAUGAUCUCAAUUAUACAUGCAAUGAUAGAUACUCAAUCUCAUAUUCUAUUCUGUAAUCAAUAUUGAUGAUUGCUAAUCCCUUCCCAGUGGUAAAAAUAUAAAUAACGAUACCUGGAAUACUUCCCAGUUAAAAUGCUACAUCGGUAUUAAUCUGUGCGCUUGCAGAUCUUAUUUAUUAUUUAUUUAGAAGAGCAAUUGCAUAUUUCAAUACCGCGUCUCUCAUGUCAUGCUGGGGAUGACAACUUGGCUUAAGUGGUAUGAGGGAUAGGUUUGGCAUUUUUGGCACCAUUAUCAGAUUUAGAAAACUAAGUCUACUUUUGGUAAUGAUGUUAAGAAUACCCAACAUUGUGCUUACACGACGGUGUAAGUUAUGGUAUCCUACUUGUGGGAAAAGUGUACAACCUUUGCAGAGUGUAAAUCUAUCUGGAUAGCCGUGUCCGUGGUCUCAGACGGGUUAUGGUUUGGUUUCAACAACUAGAUGGGUUGGGAUCAGUGAAAACAUGAGAGUGAGUGUCAUUUUAGAAAUAAAUGGUUGACUGCCAUUGUGUUGUGGGAACAAGGGUUCAACAACACUAAAAAAUUGUGAUCAAACCCCCAUUUUCAGAAAUACUAUCAUAUGUGGAAAAAGAGGUCUUUUACAACGGUAUUUGUGAGAUGAAACCUUGCAUGUGUAAAAAGAUAGCAUUAUGCAAAUAAAACUAAGCCUCAUCCUUGAUUUAUCCAUAUGCAUAUAUAUUGUUAUCCCCUUCCGUAGGGUAAGGUUGGAUUUGCUGAGUACUUUCUACUCAUCCUUGUUUUAUUAAACAGACGAAGAUCCGGACUUUGAUCCCGAAGUGGCGUUCGAGUAAGGUCGUGUCUGCACCCAACUAAGCCUAUGGCAUUGGGACUUGUCAGAUGUUCAGUUGUGAUAUCGUUUGUUUCUGGGUCCUUUGGACCUAUGUUGUAUUUUGGUGUCUUAUUAUUAUAACGUGCCUUCAUUGUCCAAGCUUAUCGAGACUUCUGCGCUGAAACUUAUCUAAUGUAAUAAAUGUGUUACUAGCCUCCUGGGACUAGUAUUGUAUCACAAUUGAGUUCCUGGAUUACCAGGGGCGCUUCACUUAACCACCACAUCAUCAAUAUAAAUUUCCGCUAACUUCCCGUUGAACUCAUAGAAAAUAAAGUUUAUAGCCCUCUGAUAAGUAGCACCAGCAUUUUUCAAUCCAAAAGUCAUGACUAUCAAUUCGAAUAACCCAACAUGACCAGGACACCUAAAUGCAGUCUGAGGAAUAUCUUCUUCAGUUAUGAAUAUUUGAUUGUACCCUGCAUUACCAUCCAUGAAGCUAAUAAUCUGAUCUCUAGCCGCAGCAUCAACCAACAAAUCGGCAACUGGCAUUGGAUAGCCAUCUAUCAGUGUAGCAUUGUUGAGAUUCCUAAAAUCAAUGCAUACACGAAGUUUUCCAUUUUCUUGUAGAUAGUAACAACAUUGGAAAUCCACUCAGCAUACUGACAUUUCCAAAUGAACUUAGCUUCAAUAAGUUUGGUUAAUGGCCUUAAUAUCAGGAAGAAUAUUAUGGUUACAUCAGCGCUGGCUGCUGAUGUGGCCGAAAUCCAGAUUUAAUAGGUAACCGAUGUUCUACAAUUGAUCGGUCUAAUCCAGACAUCUCAGUAUAAUCCCAAGCAAAGCAAUCUUUAUACUCUUUUAGCAAAUUGGUUAAUUGUUGCUUACAUUCAUAAUUCAACUUAGCACUAAUGAAAGUAGGCCUCAGCCUAUCACCACUACCUACGUCUAUUUUUACCAAAUCAUCAGCUGAUGUAAACCCAUGUCCUAACUUCCCAUCAUCGGCGAACCUAUCCAUUAAAAUUCUUCGUCAGAACCGUCUGCUUAGAUUGGUGGAAUCUCAUAAUCGGCAACCUUGAGGAAAUCUUUCUCCCAAGCUUUUCCUGAUAUGCACCUAGUUCGCUCAUAAGUGUCUGAUUUUGCCGAUGCAAUGAUGUAGGAAGAAUCCCCAUGAACAACUUCAAUUUUAUUGCCUACCCAUUGAACAAGGCACUGAUGGAUCGUAGAAGGGACACAAUAGUUGGCAUGAAUCCAAUCUCUCCCCAAUAGUAGAUUGUAUGCGCCCUUUCCAUUGAUGACAAAGAAAGUUGUCGGCAAGGUUUUGCUGCCGAUGGUCAAUUCAACGCAUAUAGCUCCUUUAGCUGGAGAUACGUUACCUUCAAAGUCUUUUAGCAUCAUAUCAGUUUUAGUUAAAUCCUGAUCUCCUUUACCAAGCUUCCGAUACAUCACAUAAGGCACAAUAUUAAUUGCAGCCCCUCCAUCAAUAAGUAUUUUAGAAACUGGCUCCCAUCAACCUUGCCUUUAACGAACAAAGCACUAAGAUGCUGCCUUUGAUCAUCAGAGGGUUUCUCAAAAAUAGCCAUCAUUGGAUCAAGUGCCAACUGAGCUAUUUGAUCAGAGAGAUUAAUUUCUUCAUCAUCACUGGAAGGUGCAAGAAAUUCCAUCGGUAACAUGAACACCAUGUUGAUAUCUACCGAUGGUCCUUUCCCCAUGCGGUCCAACUGCUGCCGAUCUUCAGACUUAGAAGAAUUUUCCUCUCUAUACAAAUCCUCCUGACGUUCACGCUGCAUCCUCUUCCUCUGCGUCCUUGUUCAUCCUUCUGGACACCAUCUGGGAAGCUUUGUCUUCCAAAUUGGCUGAUAGCGAACCUCCUUUAACUCUAUACAAUGAACGUUAGAAUCUCCGCAGAAUAUAAAUUCAUCGGGAACCCGUGCGUUUGCCAUUUCUUCAAGUUCUUCCUAAUUCGUCAGAAAAUGACCGGUAUGUCCACCAAGCCUGUCAUGCAUGUUAAGCCUGCCCCCUAGCCGAUCAUGUACUGAUGUUCUUCUCCUGAUCGGCUCAUUAAUGCGCCGAUUAUCAGUUUAGAAUCUCUGAUUUGAUCGAUCGUGUCAAUGAUAACCAUUGCGCUUAGGACAAUCUUGAAAAGUUCGUAGUUUAAUACCCCAUUCCCAGCAAUGAACAAAAAACAGACAAUCCCAAUGAUCCUUAUGUCGAUUCCACUCUUAUCGACGCCUCUCUUCCUCCUGACGUUGAUCUUCUUGCUGACGCUGAUACUGAUCUUCACGCUGUUGCCAAUUCUCCUAUUAUCGUCUAUGAGUAAUUACUACACUAGAUCGGGGAGGGCAUCUAGAGCUGUUACCUUCCUUAAACAAACAUUUCUCUUUGGCGUCAUCGGUAGUUAUCUGAUGCUGGGGAUCUACCGAUGCGUUCUUCUCAGCAGUUUCUGACGUCAAGACCUUAGUCUUACCCUUGGUGUCUAACAUGUUAGUGGGGAAAGGGUGCUGAUUAAUUUUCAUCUGCUUCUGAGUUUUGGAACAAUCAAAUUUAAUCCUCCCAGACUCUAUAGCCGAUUGCAACUGCUGCCUAAACACUUUACACUAAUUUGUACUGUGUGAAGUUGCAUUAUGCCAUUCGCCAUACUUAAUCUUUUUCAACUCCUCUGCCAAUGGAAUUACAUGAUUAGGCGACAAUUUAAUCUAUCCUUCCUAAAGCAAGAAAUCAAAUAUCCUAUCAGCUUUGGUGAUAUCAAAAGCAAAUUUCUCUGGUUCUUUCUGACCAAAAGGACAAGACAUCGGCUUCUUAUUCUUUACCCACUCUGCCAAUCCGAUGACUAGUUCUUCAUCAGAAUCAGAACUCCCUGCCUCAUCAACAAAUGAUACCUUUUUAUUCCAUGUUUUCCUAGGUUCAAAAACCUUGAUAUCUUGAUCAGAAAUCCUUUACACCAAAUGACUCAAACUUUCAAACUCUUGAGAAGCAUAUUUAUCUUUGAGAUGUGGCAGCAAUCCUUGAAAGGCCAAAUUAGCUAACUGCCGAUCAUCUAGAACCAGACUGUAACAUUUGUUCUUUACAUCCCACAACCUCUACACAAAGCUCUCCACCGAUUUAUCAUUACAUUGUCUUAACCUUACUAAAUCGGUAAUCUUCUUCUCAUAAACUCCAGAAAAGAAGUAUUUAUGAAAUUGCUUCUCUAGAUCGGCCCAGGUAAUGACUGAAUUUGGAGAUAAUGAAAUAAACCAGGUAAAAGCCGAUCCCGACAAAGAUGAUGAAAAUAAACGAACUCUUAAUUCAUCUCUGCUGGCAGCCUCUCCACAUUGAAUGAUGAACCGAUUGACAUGCUCCAUUGUUGAGGUAUCAUCUUGUCAAUAGAACUUAGUGAAAUCUAGUACCUUGUACCGAUUUGGGAGCGGAAUUAAAUCAUACACAGGAGGAUAUGGUGUCCGAUAAGAGUAAGUAUUAAUCUUGGGUUUUAUCCCAAACUGAUCUCUCAUAACUUCUACUAUCUUAUCAGCACAAUAAGCAUCAGCAUCUUGCCGAUGUACAGGUUGAACCUCUAGCACCUGUUGAUAUGCUUCCAUGUUUCUCUAGGGUACACAGUCUCCAGCAAACAUCAUAUUAGCCAUAGCCUGUGGACCACCGAUCUGCUAAGCAAGAUUCAUCGGUUGAACCGCUGGUGCCUGAUUCUAAAAACUGACCUGCAUAUGACCCUAUUGUACUCCUGCAACCUAAUGAUUCUGCUGCGCCGUGUGUGGAAAGACCAACUGCCUUGUCCAACCAUUGCUGACGUUCAUCGGCACAAGUCCUGCCGAUGUCUAGUAAUUAGUUGUCAUUGCUGAAUUGACAUAACACCGGCCAUCUCCGACCGGUAGAGCAUCGGGAACGAGCGGCUUAAGCACCAGUGAGUUAGUGCGGAGCUUUCUAGGUAGAAACGCCUAACCCCAAUGGCUCCGGUGAGCCUCCUCACGUGCGAGGUGCUCGUCGGCAGUGAGCACGGCGGUGCGGCUGCCGUGUGUUGGGUAUUCUUAACAUCAUUACCAAAAGUAGACUAAGUUCUUUAAAUCUAGUAACGGUGCCAAAAAUGCCAAACCUAUCCCUCACACCACUUAAGCCAAGUUGUCAUCCCCAGCACGACAUGAGGGACGCGGUAUUGAAAUAUGCAAUUGCUCUUCUAAAUAAAUAAUGAAUGGGAUCUGCAAGCGCACAGAUUAAUACCAAUGCAGCAUUUUAAUCGGGAAGUAUCCCAGGUAUCGUUAUUUAUAUUUUUACCACUGGGAAGGGAUUAACAAUCAUCAAUAUUGAUUACAUAAUAGAAUAUGAGAUUGAGCAUCUACAAUUGCAUGUAUAAUUAAGAACAUUAUAUCUAACUCUUCAUACAGGGACAAGUGUCACAUAGAAGAUAUAUGAAAUAAUUAAUAGUGACAAGGAUAACUAAUCUGAUCUAGCCACAUAAUAAAUAUGAUAAGCACCUCAAUUAGAUACUCUAGAAAGUCAUUAGCAUGGUAUUAGAACGAACUACAAGAAUAUUCCCUAAGUUAUUCUCAACUAUAUAGUUUAGCAUUAUCAUAGUUAGUGCAAGCAUACUGUUGACGGUCCUUAAUGCUCACAUUUAACCAUCAACUAAUCAUGGAAAAGGAUCCAAAUGCAACCAACACCUAGACUUAGGGUUUUAUCUGACAGAAUUCCACGAGUUUUGGUGUUUGUCUAUUUCUGCAGGGGGUUAUCAGGAAUUAUGGAAGAAAGGCCCACACGUCGGGUUUACAUAGGGAUAUUAACGUGCCGCGCAAUUUUCUACCAUCUAGAAGACUUCAGAAGCCACGGGAACGAACGGGAGGCCGAUCGGGCUCGGAGGCAGGGCGCCCGCCCAACUCUCCUGGGCGCCCGCCCAGCUACAGUGUCCAAUUCGGACCCGUUUCGCGUAUUAUGCUCCACCGACCUAAUACUUCAAGGAAAACCACACGAUCAAUGUUGGUUUGAUCUGACGGCCCGGAUUCACUUGAAGGGACUAUAAAACCAGACCCCCCUGGCCCCUGGAGAUCAUACCUCUUCUACAGAAUCAAAGCUAGGGUUUCAAUUCUUCAUCCAAGUAGAGAGGAUCCCUCUAGUUCUUCUAGUUCUACCUCUAGUUCAUCUAGAUCUAGUUCUAGUUCAUCUAGUUCUAGUUCUAGUUCCUCUAGUUCUAGUUCUAGUUAGUUCUAGUUGUAAUCUAGAAAAUAGGGAGAGAGAAGAGGAGAGCGGAGGAGGAGGAGCCGGAUCUGUCGGAUCUUCCUCAACAUUGUACUUUUGCAGCAACUGGUUCGUUCUUCAUCGUUCUCCAGGUUCUUCAAUUCAUAAUCCUGAGUUCUUUAAUUACUUUUCUUUACAUUCAAGUUAUUUAUUGGAUUCCCGCUUGCAUCAAGUGCUCUAAUCUUUGCAACAUUAGAGUAGUAAUUAAUAGAUUAGACGUGGUGUUUAGUCUUGCAAUUACCUGGAAUUGCACCCAAUCCUGCGGAUUGUUGUGGUAGCCCUAGGGUAGUGACAGCCCUAACGGUCGACGUAUUCCACCUCGUUCGGAUCGGUGUUUGUAGGACGGUAGUCAGACCUUCCUAGCCCCCUUCUCAUCUCUUUCUGUGGUUAGUGCUCUGAUGUCCCGAUAUAGAUAAUCUUGAAGUAAUUCUUGAUUCUUAGAUCAACUAGAGAACUCUCAGGAAACUUCCUCUCUUCCCACCAAAAAUAGUUAUAUAGUUAUCCUGGAGUGAUCUUGGAUCUUAAUUAGUACACUCACGUUCCCUGUGGAAAAUCGAUACUCUGGAAUACUCCCGGGUGAAGGCUACAUCGGUAUCCGUGCGCUUGCGGAUUUUUUCUGUUUGCGUUUAAAAUACCCAACAAGCUUUCUGGCGCCGUUGCCGGGGAACGGUAGCUGUGCUAGUUUCAAACCAAGUCGUCCGUGUAUCCUUUUUCCUUUCCUUUUUACCACACUCACCUUACCUUUUUUUACCACACCACAUGGAUUUCACUCCUAUCUAUAAAUUCUUUGCUCCAAAGGGCGAGUUAUUAGAGCCACCACCAUCAUCACAUCCAAUUCUUACAGAUGGCUACGACCUCGGCCCUGAUCUAAUAGCCAUGAUUCAGGAGCAACCCUUCUCUGGGCAAGUAGAUGAAGAUCCAUACACCCACCUUAGAGAAUUCGAGCAGUUGUGCUCUUGCCGAUCUAUUUCUGGCAUGACACAAGAAACCCUUAAAUGGAAAUUAUUUCCGUUCUCCCUUUUGGGAAGAGCAAAAAAGUCGUAUGCUCAUUCUGUAUUAGGCGUUAAUGGAAAUUGGGACGAACUUCGGGACAACUUUUGUCUCGCUUUCUUCCCACUCUUUCGAAUCGCUGACCUUAGAAUCGAAAUUCUUACAUUCAAACAAAGAGAGAAGGAAACUUUAGGAGCAGCUUGGGCUAGGUUCACAAGCCUUACCAAUUCUGGUCCAAACCUUUCCAUGCCUGACCAUGUACUGUACUACCACUUCUAUCGUGGUCUAAACAAGGAAGCUGCUCUUCACCUCGACAUUGCUUCAGGAGGCUCAUUCACACACAAACUCACAGAUGAGGGGAGAGCCAUCCUAGAAAGAAUCCUUGAAAAUACCCCUUACACAGGCAUUUAUGAUGAGUUUCCUGAAGAAGAAAAAGAAGUCGAGCCGAAUCCUAAACCAAAAGAUGAGGAACUUGCAACCGAGUUAGAAAUUCCACCUGACCCAUCUAUCAAUUUGGUUGUAGAGAAACCUCCUGAUAAGGGAAUGCAAAACCAACUAAAGGAUGAUGAAUCACCACCUUUAGAGCAUCCCUUUGAAUUCGAGGAAGAUCUUUUUGAAGAUUAUGGAAACACCUCGAAUUUUCCUAUCCAAACACGACCUCUAGCAGGGACCACUCAAUCCAUUCUAAGAGUAGAAUCUGUUGACAUAGAACACAUCAAAAACCUAUCAGCUAUUCUGAGUUACGAAUGGCUAACAGAAGCAGAGCUGUCUCCUGAGGUAGCUCGGAUCACUCCUUCAACCAUUCUUCUGUGCCAAAUUAGAGGGUCCCCUAGGAAGGUCCACUAUAAUCCAUAUGUUGGGAUAAAUGUUAUUUCCAAGGAGUUAGCUGACACUCUUUAUCCCAACGAGUCCAUAACCCCAUCUCAAAAACUUUUACAAAGUCCAUCUGGAUUAAUUCUAGAAAGCCAUGGGGUAUUUAGGGCAGUUCCUGUUAGAAUCAAGGACUCUGGAAUAUGUCUAGAUUUCCACAUUUUUGACAUAUCGGAGAUUCCUCUCUUGAUUGGUAGACCAAUCAUGAAACUUCUACAAGAACAACCACAACGAGGUCAUUUAGACUUCAAAGCUGGGAAUUCCACUAUUGUUGUUCCUCUAGCUAGAUCAAUUAACACGAUAGUGGAACCCAAACUUGACCCGGAUCCUAUUGAGGAGAUCUUAAUGGUGACUCAAGAGGAGAUGACCCAACCAUUCUUUAAUCAUGAACACUUUGUUCAAGAAGAAGAAGAUUGGUAGAACCCGUUGAGCUAGAUAAAAAUGAACAACCUUCACCUCCUUCGAUAGAGUUAAAACCUCUUCCUUCUGGCCUUAGAUAUGUCUUUUUGCACAACAACCCAAAAACUCCAGUAAUUAUCAGUGACAAGAUUUCCGAUUAUGAAACACAACAACUUGUCACUGUUCUUGAAAGGCAUAGAUCAGCAUUUGGCUACUCUCUCGAAGAUCUCACGGGCAUUAGUCCCAUUCUCUGUACUCAUCGUAUCCCUAUUGAUCCCAAUUCUACACCUUCAAGGGAACCACAAUGGAGACUUAACAAUGCUAUGCGAGAGGUUGUUAAGAAAGAGGUCCUCAAACUCUAUCGUGCUGGGAUUAUUUAUCCUGUGCCACAUAGUGAGUGGGUUAGCCCUGUCCAAGUAGUGCCAAAGAAAGGAGGAAUGACGGUCGUUAGGAAUGAGAAGAAUGAACUCAUCCCUCAACGAAUUGUCACUGGGUGGCGUAUGUGUAUUGACUAUCGAAAACUCAAUAAAGCUACAAAGAAAGAUCACUUUCCGUUACCCUUCAUUGAUGAAAUGUUGGAACGGCUUGCAAACCACUCUUUCUUUUGUUUCCUUGAUGGUUAUUCUGGAUAUCACCAAAUCCCAAUCCACCCAGAUGACCAAGAAAAGACUACCUUUACAUGCCCGUAUGGAACUUAUGCAUACCGACGAAUGUCGUUCGGAUUGUGCAAUGCUCCAGCUUCUUUCCAACGGUGCAUGAUGUCUAUUUUCUCGGACAUGAUUGAGAAGAUCAUGGAGGUUUUCAUGGAUGAUUUUACCGUCUAUGGCAAAACCUUCGAUCAUUGUUUGGAGAAUUUAGAUAAAGUCUUGCAGCGAUGUGAAGAAAAACACUUAAUCCAGAACUGGGAGAAAUGCCAUUUUAUGGUUCAGGAAGGAAUAGUGCUAGGACAUAAAGUGUCCGAACGUGGUAUAGAAGUGGACAAAGCAAAGAUUGAAGUUAUUGAAAAACUUCCACCUCCCACGAAUGUGAAAGGAAUCCGUAGCUUUUUGGGACAUGCAGGGUUCUAUAGACGUUUUAUCAAGAAUUUCUCUCAAAUUGCUAGACCCCUAACUAAUCUCCUAGCUAAGGACGCACCUUUCAUCUUUAGUGAUGAGUGUCAUGAAUCUUUUCAAACUCUUAAGAAAGCACUCAUCUCAGCCCCGAUUAUCCAACCACCUGAUUGGAAUCUUCCUUUUGAGAUCAUGUGUGAUGCUAGCGAUUUUGCGGUUGGUGCCGUUUUAGGACAAACCAAGGAUAGAAAGCAUUAUGCUAUAUCCUACGCUAGCAAAACCUUGUCUAGACCACAGCUCAAUUACACUACAACUGAAAAAGAGCUUUUGGCUGUUGUCUUUGCUAUAGACAAGUUUAGAUCUUACUUAGUGGGGGCAAAGAUAAUCAUCUAUUCAGACCAUGCUGCUCUCAAGUACCUCCUCACUAAGAAAGAUGCUAAGCCUCGUCUAAUUCGAUGGAUUCUUCUACUCCAAGACUUUGACAUAGAAAUCCGAGAUAGGAAGGGAGUUGAGAAUUCUGUAGCUGACCACUUAUCUAGGCUUCAAUAUAAGGAAACACAUGAUGAGCUUCCCAUAAAUGACUACCUAAGGGAUGACACCCUACUUAAGAUAACACAUGCAGAUCCAUGGUACGCAGACAUCGUAAACUUUAUAGUAAAAGGCUAUGUCCCACUUGGUGCAAACAAAAGGAAGUUGCUUCACGAUAGUCGUUUCCACCUUUGGGAUGAGCCAUAUCUUUUCCGAGUCUGCGCUGAUGGACUCUUGAGAAGGUGUGUUCCUAUCGCUGAGGCUACUCAAAUUAUGGAAAGAUGCCAUGCCUCGCCAUAUGGAGGACACUAUGGUGCAUUCCGGACACAUGCUAAAAUUUGGCAAAGUGGUUUUUUCUGGCCAACGAUGUAUGAAGAUACAAAGGACUUUGUCAGGAGAUGCCACCGAUGUCAAAAACAUGGGAAUAUCAACUCACGAAAUGAAAUGCCUCUCACAAAUAAUCUUCAAGUAGAACUUUUCGAUGUAUGGGGCAUUGAUUUCAUGGGACCAUUCCCUAUGUCUGGGAAUUUUGAGUAUAUCUUAGUAGCUGUGGACUACGUGUCUAAAUGGGUAGAAGCCCUACCUUGUCGAUCAGCUGAUUCAAAACAUGCCAAGAGAAUGUUUCAUGAAGUAAUCUUUCCUCGCUUUGGUAUACCCCGGAUAGUUAUAAGCGAUGGAGGUUCCCACUUCAUCGACAAAAUCUUCCGGAAAUACCUAGCCGAUCAUGGAGUUCGACACAACGUCGCAACACCAUACCAUCCUCAGACUAGCGGUCAAGCCGAAACAUCUAACAAACAAAUCAAAAAUAUUUUACAAAAGACCGUAGAUGAGAUGGGUAAGGGGUGGAAGGAAAAACUUCCUGAUGCACUUUGGGCAUAUAGAACUGCAUUCAAAACACCCAUAGGCAUGUCACCUUAUCAACUUGUAUAUGGAAAAACUUGUCACUUGCCUGUGGAAGUAGAGUUUAAGGCUCAUUGGGCACUCAAGAAAUGGAACAUGGAUCACCACCUUGCUAGCGAGAAUCGUCUGAUGCAACUAUCUGAGCUAGAAGAAUGGAGAGAGAAAGCCUACCACAAUUCAAGGAUCUAUAAAGAGAGAACAAAACGAUGGCAUGAUAAGAGAAUCAAGCACAAGGAGUUUAAGCCUGGAGAUAAGGUUCUACUAUUCAAUUCAAGAGUUAAGCUCUUUGGGCAUGGUAAGCUACGAAGUAAGUGGGAUGGACCAUACAAGGUUAUUGACACUUCAACACAUGGAGCCAUUACCAUCCAAGACGACAUAGGUAACACUUUUAAGGUAAAUGGUCAACGCUUGAAAAUCUAUCUUGAGCCUCAAAACAACCGGGUAGAGGAACUUGAUGUGAUUGAGUUCAUAGAAUUCUCACAUUAAGCUCUCAUAAGCUCUAGACAAUUACCUAACCCUUAACAUGUUCCACAAGUUUUGUUGUCUAUUUGGGUUGUGCAGGAUUUUGAGGCUUAAGAAGAGUGAGACCGAACAUGCAGGCCAUAAGAGUGAUCGACUAUGUCAACAUCCAGCUUGGGGGAGGCACUCCCACGUGUAUCUAGAUAAGUAUUACUUUUCUUUCUUGGUUUUAUUUACUAGUAUUUGGAAAUAAAUUUAAAAAAAUGCAUAACCAUGAAACCAAACAAAGUUUUUCUUUUGAGUAAUAUACAAUAGUUUUGUGUAAUACUAAGUUUUAAAUAAAAUAAAAAGAAAGUUUGAUUCAAGUCUAGGUAAUUGACAAACAUGAUAUGAGAAGGUCUGAGCUACUAUUUAACUUGUUCCAAGUUUUGCUAGAGUUCUGGAGAUUUUAUCUUUUGAAAAUCUAAAAAUUCAUAAAAAAAAUAUAUGAGAUCAUAAUACCUAGAGUCUUAUAAGAUAUAAAUAUUAAAAUUGUGGGCACUUGCUAUGUUCAAGCCAUUGUUAAUUCUUGUAGUUUUGGUUGAGAGAAUUAUCAUGCUCCCAAGAUCAAGAUCUUUUUGUUUUAAAAUAUAAAAGAUUCACUCUUCCGAAGUAUUAUUGCGUUAGAGGCAUGGGACUAUGCAAAAAUUUGAUUCGAAAAAAAAAGAGUGAGACGAGAGGUAAAAAUGGACAAGUGUCCGAAGUAGAAUUAGGGGUACAAAGAUACCCACCUGAGUGGAAAAAAAUGGACAUGUGUCCGACAGUAGGAUUAGGGGUACUUGCUGCCCACUUGAAAAAAAAGAAGACUGAAAAAAAGAGAAAAAGGAAAAAAAAGGAGAAAAAAAAAUGAUAGCCCAUGGUCCCUCUAAUAAGCAAUAUGCCAGUAAGAGAUGACAAACUUUUCAAAAAGGUCAAAGGUCUUGAUCUAAGAGUAUGACAUUCCUCUCCCUUGCCGAGCAUUGACAUAGCAAAAUGCAAAUUAUGUAUGCUAAAACUUUUAAAGCUCUACUUAUAUAUAUCUUUCGAGAAGAAGGCAAUGCCUCAGUUUCAUUUUGCAGACUUAUAAAAAAACUCCAGAACAAAGGUAAGACAGAAGAACUUGAGACAUAGUGCUUGACUUGAUCAUUCUGUUUUUCAAUCACUUAAGACCUUAGUGAUAACUUAAAAACCAUAUAGUAAGAGGCAUAAAAGUAACCCCUGUUUUCUUGUUGAUUUUAGCUUUGCUCAGGGACGAGCAAAGGUUAAGCUUGGGGGAGCUUGUUGACGGUCCUUAAUGCUCACAUUUAACCAUCAACUAAUCAUGGAAAAGGAUCCAAAUGCAACCAACACCUAGACUUAGGGUUUUAUCUGACAGAAUUCCACGAGUUUUGGUAUUUGUCUAUUUCUGUAGGGCGUUAUCAGGAAUUAUGGAAGAAAGGCCCACACGUCGGGUUUACAUAGAGAUAUUAACGUGCCGCGCAAUUUUCUACCAUCUAGAAGACUCCAGAAGCCACGGGAACGAACGGGAGGCCGAUCGGGCUCGGAGGCAGGGUGCCCGCCCAACUCUCCUGGGCGCCCGCCCAGCUACAGUGUCCAAUUCGGACCCGUUUCGCGUCUUAUGCUCCACCGACCUAAUACUUCAAGGAAAACCACACGAUCAAUGUCGGUUUGAUCCGACGGCCCAGAUUCACUUGAAGGGACUAUAAAACCAGACCCCCCUGGCCCCUGGAGAUCAUACCUCUUCUACAGAAUCAAAGCUAGGGUUUCAAUUCUUCAUCCAAGCAGAGAGGAUCCCUCUAGUUCUUCUAGUUCUACCUCUAGUUCAUCUAGAUCUAGUUCUAGUUCAUCUAGUUCUAGUUCUAGUUCCUCUAGUUCUAGUUCUAGUUAGUUCUAGUUGUAAUCUAGAAAAUAGGGAGAGAGAAGAGGAGAGCGGAGGAGGAGGAGCCGGAUCUGUCGGAUCUUCUUCAACAUUGUACUUUUGCAGCAACUGGUUCGUUCUUCAUCGUUCUCCAGGUUCUUCAAUUCAUAAUCCUGAGUUCUUUAAUUACUUUUCUUAACAUUCAAGUUAUUUAUUGGAUUCCCGCUUGCAUCAAGUGCUCUAAUCUUUGCAACAUUAGGGUAGUAAUUAAUAGAUUAGACGUGGUGUUUAGUCUUGCAAUUACCUGGAAUUGCACCCAAUCCUGCGGAUUGUUGUGGUAGCCCUAGGGUAGUGACAGCCCUAACGGUCGACGUAUUCCACCUCGUUCGGAUCGGUGUUUGUAGGACCGUAGUCAGACCUUCCUAGCCCCCUUCUCAUCUCUUUCUGUGGUUAGUGCUCUGAUGUCCCGAUAUAGAUAAUCUUGAAGUAAUUCUUGAUUCUUAGAUCAACUAGAGAACUCUCAGGAAACUUCCUCUCUUCCCACCAAAAAUAGUUAUAUAGUUAUCCUGGGGUGAUCUUGGAUCUUAAUUAGUACACUCACGUUCCCUGUGGAAAAUCGAUACUCUGGAAUACUCCCGGGUGAAGGCUACAUCGGUAUCCGUGCGCUUGCGGAUUUUUUCUGUUUGCGUUUAAAAUACCCAACACAUACUUAGCAAUCAUUGUGAGACAAGACUACGCCCAUGCAUAGUGAUAUUAGCAAGGUAAAUGAGAAACAUAGCAAUCACUCCCCUAUAAUAAUAUUGCUCUGCCAGCCCAAUACACGAGAGGGGGACUAUAUAAGAAUCAAUGAAGCUGUCACUAUCACGAACUACCCCACGAUCUGGCAUAUUGGCUACAAUCGCAGAUAAAUACGGUAUAAGCACCACGCCUACACAAUAUCUAUCAUUUACCCAUAGAUCCGAUGGAUAAACGCUAUACGAUCCUAAGCAUGUAUAUAGAUCCAAUCUAACUAAGCCAAGUACAUAACUAUGAUAAACUAAGAACAAUAUAAUCUUGAAUAUAUGCAAGUAGAGCAAAGUCAUAAGCAAUAUAUUGAAGUAGAACAAAGUCAUAUUCAUAAUAUUGAAGAACAAAGAUAAUUAGAAAGUAAUUAGAAGCACAAUUAGAGAAUUACCAAGAAUCCUCCUGACAGAUCCGGAAACCAAUCGAAGAUUGACUCCUUCUAGUUCUAAUCCUAUGUAGCUAUGCUAAUCUAGAUAUCUAAUUGAUGUGGUGGCUCUAAUCUUGAUCAGAGGCUUCUUCUCCCUUGAGUAACAAUGAAUUAGGGUUGAGAGGCUCUCUCCUCCAGGGGCCAGGGGGUCUCGUUUUAUAGUCCCUUCAAGUGAAUAUGGGCCGUUGGAUCAAACCGACAUAGAUUGUAUGGUUUAGAUUCAUCCUUUAGGUCGGUGGAGAUCUCCCACGAAGCAGAGUCCUGAUUGGACUCAGGGAGAGGGCGGGCGCCCAGGGGAACAGGGCGGGCGCCCUGCCUCUGGCCCCGUUUCGCCUCCGCUUCGGUCUCGUGGCUUCUGGAGUCUUUUAGAUGUAAGAUAAUUGCGCGGCACGUUAAUAUCUCUAUGUAAUCCCGACGUGUGGGCCUUUCUUCCGUAUUUCCUGAUAACCCCCUGCAGAAAUAGACAAACACCAAAACUCGUGGAAUUCUGUCACAUAAAACCCUAAGUCUAGAUGUUGAUUUCAUUUGGAUCCUUUUCUUUGUUUAUUUAAUAAUUAAAUUUGAUACUUAAGGACCGUCAACAAACUCCCCCAAGCUUACCUCUUGCUCGUCCCUGAGCAAGGACAGACUCAGCUAUGGAUCAUAAGUUGUUGCAAUAUUUUAAAAAAUUGACGGUACACAUGCUUUUUAAAUAAUAUCUCAUCUCUGAGUUAGAGUAAACUGUCAAGACUUAAAACUUACUUACUUUACCUUUCACCAUGGGACUUGUAACUGUUACUUCUGUCUUGAGUGGUUAAAAGAUAGAACAGUCUAGCCAAGUGCCGUGUCUCUUAUUCUUGAUUAGCUAUAGUUCUGGGGUUUUUGCAGAUUUUCAAAUAAAACUCAGAGAUUCCUUGUAUGACUCUCUCAAAUCUCUCCUUUGUGGUAUUUCUGGAUCCUUACCAAGGCAGUGAUGGUAUAUGCCUUCUCUCAAAAAUAUGUAGUAUUUGUGGUAUAAGGCAUAGUGGCAUUGCCUUCUCUCUCACCCUACUCUAAUAAGGCUUUAAUAUCUAGAGCUCAUAGGUGGGAGAUAAAAUAUACAUACUUACAAGACAUUUAUUGCAUAGUCAAACCAUGGAUCCAAAGAAACAAAUCAAUAAGUCGAAUCAAGAUGUGCAUGUGUGGCGAAUGAAUGGUGUAUGGUGAUGAUGGUGAUAACAAUGGUAAAAGUCUAAUUCUACUUUUGCUCUUUGAGGGGAUACAUAUCUUCCUUGCUUUUUAAAAUUUUAUGGGGAGAAUGAGAUGCUCUUCUUUUUCUUUUCUCUCAGGUGGGUAUCUUGUACCCCUAAUUCUACUGUCAGACACUUGUCCAUUUUUACCUUUCGUCUCACUUUUUUUUCUUUUCUUUCGAGGUUCCGAGCACUUGCUCCUUUUUAUUUCCUCGUAUAUUUCUCUUUCUUUCUUUUUUUAUAGCACUCAUCUCUUGAGAUAAUAUAGCAAGUGGUAGUAACAAGAUAACUUGAGCAUUUAUUUCACAAGGGAAAAACAAUAAUAUUUUUGGUUAUUCUCUCCCGGAUUAGGAGUAGAAUAUUUUUAGGUGAUUCUGGAGAUGGAAAUGGAUGGAUAUAUGUGGAUGGUACUUCCGGAGUAGAAGUAGCAUAUAUGAGUGAACGUGCAAGUGAAUCUUGAUUUAACCACAUGACAAGCUCCUAAUGGUCUACACAGCUUGACCACACUCAAUGCUCAUAAGCAGUAAAUAGUAAAUGUGUGGCUCAAAGUCUAGCAAGCAUGUAUAUAUGGCUGUGGUAGGAAUUUAAACUCUCAUCAUACAGGAACUCAUCAUGCAACAUUUUAAAGAUUUUCAAAGAUAAAAUUCUCCAGAAUUCUAGCAUCUCUAGGAACAGAUAAACAGCAGCUCAACCUUCCCAUAUCGUAUCCGUUAACACAUGCAAGUUUUCAUCCCACAAGUUUAGGUCUAGAGCAAGCUUUAAAUUAUAACAGUUAUAUCUAAACUUGAGAGAGAACUUAAAAUGUGCAAAUUAGGCAGAGCAACUAUUCAUCAUAUCCAUGCUUGAGUUUUAUUAUUAAGAUACAGAUUAGCAUAGCCACUUUAUUCAUUUAUUAAACACACUAAGCAAAAGAUAUAUAUAUAAGCACAAAAUCUUUAUUUGGUUUUUCCAUAGUUAUGUAUAUUUAUAUUCUAAUAUAAUAUAAGUAUAAAGAUAGAUAGAAAUACUUAUCGAGAUAAAUGGGGGUGCUUUCCUCCAAGCUAAAUUUUGACGUAAUUUCUCUUGAUGUAGCUAGCAGGUAGCAGAGGUGUAUUUGAAAGUUAGCAGCAUUCUGACAGUGAUUAGAAUGUCCUCCGUCUGCCAGUCUUCCUGAUUCUUAGAUUCUGUGGAGCUCAAAUAGACAACAAAGCUUGUGGAACUGAUUAAGUGUUAGCAUAAAUAUCUAGCCUUUAUCAUGUUGAGACUCCUUAAUAAUUAUUACUCCCUGUUUUUCUAUUUUUAUUUUUAUAAAGCAGAAAAAUAUUUAUUUUAUUUUUAUGCCACCACAGCGAAUGUAUUUAUGGGUUUUAUGCCACUCGUAUACUUACAUGGGGCUUACUGUUUUUUCACAUUUUUAUUUUCUUUUUAGGAUAGCAUGAACAUGAUUAACUAAGUAAACUAUUUUAAAUAAUUGAAAGGGAAAGGAUAACUACCAAGUUUACCUCUUAGAAAGGCGUUCGGUGUUUUUAAGCCCUCCGAACAGGACUCUCCGUUUUCUUAAUUGUCCUAGGAUUCGUUGGGUGGCGUAGUCGGUACUUCCGGCGGCGCCACCUCUUCAUGUAUAGUUAUCUUCAUUUUCCAUACCUGACUCGGUGCUAUGGUCUCCUCUGGAUAAUUCUGUUUAAACUUUACGUCUUCUGACCUUAUAACUUCUCCUUCAUAGUCUGCCCAUCCGUCCCUGAUGAUCUGCCUCCUCUGGUUGCGGUUGCGUCUCUUUCUGAC
rnacentral:lncRNA from 1 species